UCGAUAAGUCUAAGGUAAUCAAGAUAUCUGAGUCAUGUCGCGACGUUAAAUCAGGUGCUGCAUGGGAGGCAAUCCAUGAUCCCCAAGAGCGACCAAGUGCAGGUAUACUCUAACUCUUAGUUUAGUUUUGCUUUAAUUCUAUGUUGAGAGUGAAGGGUAGUCUGUUGUUGUAACAUAGUUUAUGGUAACUAGGAAAAAUACAAGCACAAAAGGCAGUGACAUAUUCUUGCUCGAUGUUUGAACACCCUUCCAAUGUCUUGUUUGAUAAACUGUAUGGAUUACAUUUACUUGUGACCAUUGUGAAUCUUAUUGUGGCAUUAGUUAUAGCCGCUUGAUGAUCAUUACUGAACAAUUACAUGAACUAGAUAAGUGGUGGCCUGUAAUAUACUUGUGUGCCAGGUGUGUGUGAGCUAUUACUUGUUUUCCUCUGUAUGCUUAAGCCAGAACUUGCCUAGUUGGUCUUGCCAUGGUCAUAGGAUAAGAGUUAGGACAGGAUCAUAGGCCUUCAUUGAUUAACCCACUUUUAGCCUAAAUAUCCUUCUCUGUAUGCAUAACACCCCUUGAUCUCUGUUUAGAGCCUAAAUUGGCCAUUUCUUUUGUAUGACAUCUUUCACCUUCCCAUUUAUACCACAAUAAACCUGUUUAUCCCUGGCCUUCCUUGGACACUGAGCAUCUUGAUCUAGGAAAACUGCCUAAGUUGAGGUUAGUUAUCGUAGGGGUGCAUGGUGUAAGAGGAGUGUAAAGAAGGGUGGAAUAAAAGAGAAAGAAUAAAAGCUGGGUGCUAAAAAAAAGGGGAAAGGGGGCAGCACCCAACUUGAAUAUGGAUGAUCAAGAGAAGAAGAAAAAAAAAGAAAGAGGAUAAUAAGUGAGCCCCAAGAAAGUAGUGUAGUAUUAAGGAGGAAUAGUCACUCUAAAUGACCUUGAAUAUCAUACCAGCCCCAAACCACACUACAAGCCUAAAAGAAGUCCUAUAGUGAUUCUAGCUGGCCUAUCUGAAGAAUUUGGUAACGAAAAUAAGGGCAAGCCUAUGGUACUUGGCAUACACUAAUUGGAACCUCUUUUUGAGAGUGAGAGUCUUUUGAUGAUCCCCAUAUUUGUAUUUUUGGAUUUCUUAUAUGAGAAGAGGGUGAUUUUUUAUUGUGAGGGCACACUGGUAUCGUUGCUAGCUACUUGCUUGUUUAGAUAGUAUGGCAUUGAUAUGUGAAUGGUUGUUAUAGCUAAGAUUGAUGCUGCCAUUUGAUUCCGCAUAGUUGAUAUUAGUUGGUUUGGCAUUGAAGGGAUAACUUUGUGUUGAGCUCAAAUGAAAAAUUUGUUGCUGGAUGUGCUAUGUGUUCUCUUAGUUGGAUUAAUUUGCUUGAGGACAAGCAAUUGUUCUAAGUUGAGGGUGUUGAUGUGUGCGCAAUUGCUAACACAUUUAAGGUCUUUAACCUAGAAUAAUUGUGAGGCCUUAAGCAACUUUUGUCAUUUUUUAUAUGUUUAUGUUAAUUUUAUAGAUUAAGCUAAUGGGAUAGAGAACCAACAAGAAUAGAGGCAAAGAAGUUGAAAUCUGAAUAAAGGUGUGGCUGACGACAUCUGUUAUAAGUCGUCAGCCCCGUGAUAGGCUAUCACGGUUGCCGUCAAAUGUAACCUGGGAGUUGGCAUGGUGUGAAUGCUGUGACGACAUCUGCUGAUAAGACGUUAAAAGUGUGAUAAGCCGUCAGGGAUACCAUCAACCUUAAUCAGAGAAUGGGAAUUGUUGUAAAGUUGUGAUGGCAUAUCAUGAUAAGGCGUCAGAGUUGUGACAAGCCAUCAUAACCACCGUUAACCUUAGACAAAAAUUAUCAAAAUGAAAGAGGAGCUAAUGACAUCCAUGAAACGCCGUCAGACUCCUGAUAGGCCAUCAUUAUAGUCGUCAGCCUGAUACAGCAAAAGCCAAACUUAAAGAGAAUUUGAUGACGUCCAUGACAGUCCAUCAAGAUCAUGAUAGGCCGUCAUGGGCGCCGUCAUCUAAUCCGAAGAAAAUCAGAAACUUUAAUUUUAUUUCCUUAUUUAGGGUUAACUAUUUAAAACCUUGUUUGGGUUUUUAGGGGGAUUUUUAUCCAUCAUACAUUGACAUAUUGACAAUAUACGACUUUUCUCUCUCUCUCUCUCUUUCUCUCUCUCUAAACUAAUAUUUCAGUACUUGCUUUGUGAUUCAAUUACAUGUUCACUUUUGAUUUCCUUUAUUAUUGUAAGUUAAUCUUCUUAAUUAUGAAUUCAAUUUGUGUGCUUAUUUCUUGCAUCAUGAGUGGUUGAACACCCUUAACCUAGAUUAUGGGAUCUAAGGUUAGGUCAUGAUAAGGUGGUAAUUAAUUACUCAAGGUUUAAUAGGUGUUAGGAUUUCUUGGUAAUUCUGAGAAUAGAAUUUAUGUCUGUUGGUUGCAAACAAUAGGCGUACCUACUUCGGUUUGCUUGAGAAAGAAAUCAUAAACACUAGGAAGUGAAUUAUCAACAGGGACUCGAAAAGGCUUCGUUUAAUAAUCAGCGCUGUAACAAGGUUGAUUAACUUGAGGUAAAAUCUGAGCAGUGAGUUGUGAUUCCCUAAGUCUAAGAGGAUUAGGAAAUUAGACGCUCGAAUAGGUCGAGAGACAUUUGAGCAUAUCAUCAAUAAAGAUAGCUUGUAAUCCUAACCACCAUGAGAACCUUGAGUUAAUGGUAGCAUCUGUCAUGUUCCGUAAGCCCUAGUGAACAUAAUCCUGGUUAUCUCAUAAAAUCUUGGUUACAACCAUUAAAUUCAAAAUGAUAAAUAAUUAUCUGCAAAACUUAAACCCCCAUUUCAGGAAACAGUAAACUAUCAAUAAAUUAUAUUGUAAACAACUUGAGUUCACACCUUAUUCCCUAUGGGAUUUGACCCCAACCUAGUUGGGUUUUAUAUUGACAACGAUUGCUUACACCCAUUCAAGAGUGUAAUUUGAUUGUUAUCACUGAUUAAACAAAUUAUCGAUCCUAUGAAGAGAAUACUUAUUCUUUAUGGUCACCUUAUCAAUGCACAGCUGAAGGAAACCAUUCUUCUUACACAUAAACAACACCGGAGCACUCCAAGAAGACACACUAGUAUGGAUAAAACCUUUAUAUAAAAGGUCUUUCAAUUGCUCCUUAAUCUCUUUCAACUCAGCCGGAGCUAUUCUAUAAGGAAGGAUAUAAAUAGAACGAGUGUCCGAAAGAAGAUUAAUCUCGAAAUUAAUUUCCCUAUCGAGAGAAAUACCAGGAAAAUCAACAGGGAAAAUAUCACGACCCGAGGCCUACCGUCAGUCACAACAACGGUGCUUACGAUCACAAGUGAUCAUAAGCUAACCCAUGUGUGUGGAAUAUAAACUACUAAAGUAAUGCCAAUCUGAAUACUGAAAAUGUGAUUCAAUCAUAAAUCUGAAGCGUCUGGUGAAAUACUGAAAGCUAACUAUCAAUUUAAAACAACUGAUAAUACUGAAAGGAGUGAUAAAUUGGAUAAUCAUUUAACUGACUGCCUGAUUAUCUAAAUGCCUCUAACUGACUGAGGAGUUAAUGGGACAGGCCCCCAACUAAAUCCGACUGACCGAAUAUAAUGAAAUACUAAAGUACUAAAUGAGAGAUAAUAUCUCCUCGAUGGAUGAGGACUCACUACUACGACUACUGAGUAAUGCUGGUUGUCUAACUGCGGUCGGGAAACUGAGCCUUCGAACCUAUGAUAUAAGACAUCAUAGUAUAAAGAAGAGUAUACGGUCAGUACGUUAAAUGUAUUGGUAUAUAAGAUAAGGACGGACUUAAAUAUAUGGGUAACUGUGAAUGAAUGCAUAAACAAGUAAUAUCUGUGAUUGCAAGACCAAGUAUAAACAUGUUUCUAAAAUAAUCUGAAAACUGAAGAACUGUAAUCUGUGUAACUGAAUAACUAAGAAUCUAUACAUUCGGUCAAUGCAAACCUAAACUAAAAAUAUACAAAAUACUGCACUGAGAUUGUAGGAGGUAUCAUCUAAUCAACAUGCCCUAAUCUGAGCUAAUCAGGGUCCAAUGUGUAACCCUAGUUAGAAGGGUGUUAGUACUAUGCCACGGGUACUAACACCGGCUGUGUGGAUCCAUUAAACUAGUGUCCCAAAGGACUAAUGAGUCAUUCUCAACUACCAAGUUCUGUAAUGAUAUAUGGAUCAACCUCAACUGGUAGGAAACACCUCGUUAACCCUCAACUGGCACAUCUCUAACCUACGUUGGCUACAUAGUUCUGUAACUCGGGGAUUCUUACUAAGGGUCACACCCUCUACUAUCAGGUAAGACCUCAUCUUUGAGUUCGCUCAGAGCUAAAUCCUACUCCCACCUAAACUGUUACUGGGAUUGAACUGAACUAAGCUUGACUGAACAUGAUUUUGUAACUUCUAGUGGUCAUCAUGAUUACAUAAACUGAAUAAGUAAUAAAAUUCAUGGUUUAACUGAAUCAUUACUGAAAUAAUCUGAACUUAUGUAAAAAAUCUUAGGUAUCAAGUAUUCAUAACCCAUCAACACUGAAUAAUCACUGAACGCAAUAACAAGCUUAAAAAUUGUAGUAAAGGAUCAUGGUUCAAAACCCAUAAGCAUAGACAUUCCAUCAAACAUGUGGGGAUCAUGAAUUUUAACAUGGGAAUGCUUUAAAUAGUGGAAACAACAUAAUGUAUGACUAAAAAUCAUAAUUUAGGGGUCUAAAAUGGAAUUAAUUUUAACAUGGGAAUGCUUUAAAUCGGGGAAACAACAUAAUGUAUGACUAAAAAUCAUAAUUUAGGGGUCUAACAUGGAAUUUACUUGAAAUAAGACAUGGAAAGCUGAAAUUCAAAGAAUGAGGAAAUCAAAUCUUAAAUGGGAUCAUACAUGGGUUGAAUUGAAUUUAAAAUCACCAUGAAAACAUGAAUUAAACCCAUCUUAAGCAAUAUAAAACACCAUAAUAAUAGGAAAAAAAUCCAUUCUUUAACUAAAAAGAGGGUUUUGGGGCUCCAUGGGUAAAAGGGACCCAUGAAUGAAAACCCCACAUACCUUAAGCUUCUUAAAUUGAAAGAAAACACUAAUAUUGAUGCUUUCUUGAAGGUUCUUGAACUUGGGGAACUCAAAUUCUUGCUUUCUUGGGGAGAAAGGAAUUGAAUUCUUGUUCUUGGGGGAAGGAGAGGGUCUUCUUAAUAGGAAAGUUGGAGAAAAAGGGCAAAUAAUACCCUAAUUUAUGCCCCAAGUCAUGAUACGAAUGAUUUGGGUGAGAGGGAAAAGAAUCAAUUGCCCGUCAAUCAUUUAAAAUUCAAAACUGGAUGUAAUAGGCUUACCGCAACGUGGUCCUAUCGCGGUCAUUCAUUUCCCUCAUCGCGAUGCGGUCUGCAUGAGAAUGGGAAUAGAAUCGCGGCAUGGGCUUAUUGCAAUGACCCAUUGGUUUUAUGAUCCAACCAUGUCCCAAACCUCGUUUAAAAAAUCUAAAACUUUUUUUAGACAUACUUCUUACAUCCCUGGACAUGAAUCAACUCAAAAACUAACAUCAUAGGGUUGGGAAGACCAAAAUUAAAAUCCUCAAAGUUAGAGAUCUUAAAAUGACUAAGUCCCUAACAUUUGGUGAAAAUUUCAGGCCUUAAGCCCCUUAUGCAUGCAACUAAAAGCUGAACCAAGAUAAGAUUAGUAUAGGGUAUUAUAAUAUCUCCCCUUGGGAACAUUUGACCUUGAAUGAGACUAGUUAGACUGAGAGCAUGGAACUAAGACAACUGAAAUCACAUACUAAACAUGCUUGACUCCGAACAUGAUUACAUAAUUGGGUCUGAAACAUGAUACAUGAACAAAACUAAUUUCGUGAAUACAUGUAAUAAUAAUAGGAUGUUUAUAUAUAUAUAUAUAUAUAUAUAUAUAUAGAACUGAGAAUGGCAAAGAAUCAAUCUAGGGAAAACUGUUACUUCAAGUUGAGUCUGACUUUGUGGAGAAAAGAUGAGGAUACUUGGAACACGUAUCUGCUUUCGCUUCCCAAGUGGCUCCCUCAACGAAUUGAUUCCGCCAUAGAACUUUAACCAAGGGAACUUCUUUGUUCCGUAGUCUACGAAGCUAAUGAUCUAAAAUCUCAACUGGGACUUCUUCGUAGGAAAGGCUAUCCUUAAUGUCCAUAUGUUCUAAAGGAACAACAACAGCUGAAUCACCAAUACACUUCUUUAACAAAGAAACAUGGAACACCGAAUGUACUAAAGCCAAAUCUGUAGGCAACUCUAUCACAUAAGCUACCUUUUUAUAAGACACCGCAAAAUCCUAAGCUUAACUCAGUCCUUUAAAGCUUUUUAAGGGGUCCCAGACAUAGAAAAUUUUAGCUAAGUAUUCAGACUUAGUAUUAUUUUAGCCUUUGUAGGUUGCCGACUCUAUUUCACAACCCUCGUGAACUUAAAGUAAUGAUUUUUAUGUUGAAUCAUGAUUAGGAAUAUCAGUAGGUAUUCCCGAAUAGGUUUUGGAUUUUUCAAAAUUUAUUUGGAUCAUAUUUAAAAGUAAAAACUAUUGGAUUGAUGUGAUCUUGACGCGCUGCAUCACCCACCACGUCAAUGAAUAUUUUCCUCCAGCUCUCAGUGUAAAUUUUGGUGAACCAAUGCAAACUCGACGUUGUGCAUUGGCCAUCAUAUCGAUGAAAAUAAUGCGGUGCAUCGAUCUAUGUAUCGCUAGGUUAGUUUUCAGUCAUUAAAAUCUGCGUCCUCAGGGGUAAUUGGGUAUUUUUCCCAUGUCUAUCAGCCCCAAAACACGAAAUUAAAUCCUUGCAAGAGCAAAAACUAUUCAAUCUUCACAAAUUGCUCUCAAGAACAAACCCUAGGAGAUUUCAAAUUCAAUUCAAGGCUCAAGAACUUACCAUAAAUCUUUCAGAAUUUAAUUGUUAUGGUAUGUCAAGUGUUCAUUCAAGGGUCCCUUCCACCCUUGGAGUUCAAGAAUCUAUUUUUUUAAAACGUCAAGUGUAUUGAUUAUAUGAAUUUCAUGUUGGAUUUUAUUAUAUUCAUUAUUAUAAUGAUUAAUUGGGUUUCUAAUCCAUGUUUUGUUACAAGUUUCAUGUGGAGUUAUUUGAAAUCUGUAUGGAAUCAUGUAAAUCUAUGCUAAACUCUUAAAAGUGUAAAUGGGGAUUAGAAUUAUAGUGCUUAUAUGUGGUUAGUGUCAUGUGCAUGUAUGAUGUCCUCCAAGUGUUUGAUAAAUUGCUCAUGUAAACAAAGAAAAAGGGAAAACAUUCAUGUCAUGUUAGCUUAUGUGCAAGUUGUAUUAUGCAAGGGUUUGAUGGAAUGUUUCAAUGAAUGAGUUAUGAUUAAGUGCAUAUGGUUAUGCCUUUCAAGUUUAUGCUAUGAUUUAUUUUUCAUGCUAUCGAGUCCUAGGGGUAUCAAAUACCCAAAAACUUAGUUUUUUACCUAGAGUUGUGGUAGUUAUAGAAUAGUCUCAGUAGUGUAAUGAAUAGUAGCCUCAGUAAUCAGUUACAGUUCAGUAUUCAGUUCAGACCUCAGUAAAUCCAGCUAGUCAACAAAACUCUAUAGUAUUCCAUCAGUUAACAGAAUUCAGCAGUACUCCAUCAGUUAACGGAACUCAGUGAACUCAAUUCAGUUCAUUUAGACAGUAUGAUCAGUAACAGUUCAGUCCAUCCUAGUAUAGUUUAGAUAUUAGUCUAGUUUCUAAUCAGUUAGGAGUAGGAUUUAGCACCAAGCAAACCCAGGGAUGGGGAUUCCUGCCAGCAGAGGGUUUGACUGUUAGUAGUAGUCCCUGCAUUACAAAACUAUAUAGCCAGCAUAGGUUGAGAUAUUUUCCUACUAGACUAGGGUUUCCUAUCAGAGAGGGUUAACUCACAGCUUAUCUUUACUCGUGGCAUGAUACUUACACCCUUCCAACUGGGGUUAGAGGUUGGACCCCAAUCUAUCCAUAAAGGAGUAUGUCGGUUAGAUGAUUACCUCUUACAGUCUCAGUUUUAGUUUCAGUCUCAGUAUAGAACUCAGUUCAGUUCUACAGAAUUAUGACUGUUAGAUACAGUCACUCAGUUUAGUAUAAAACUUAGCAUAGUUUCACAGAACUAGGACUGUCAGCUACAGUCAUUCAGCUAUCAGUUAUACAGUAUCAAUAAACUCAGAUAUUAGUAAAUCAGUAAUUCAAAACUCAGUAUCCAGUGUCAUCAUGACCUCAGUUACAAUUUAUGUAUUUUAUGCAUAUAGUCUCAUUAAGUUAUACUCAUGUUAUUCAGUCAGUAUUGUUCAUGCAUAUGAACCCAUGUAUCUCAGCCUACCUCACUUAGCAUACAAGUAUAUUCAAAGUACUAAUGCAUACCUAUCUUUGCGCUAUGAUGUCUUAUAUCAUAGGUUUAGAUGUACGGGCUCUUGAUCAUACUUAGUAGCCUAAUCUAUCAGCAGCAGACUAGUGGUGAGUCCUCAUUAUUCGAGGACAAAUCUAUUAUUGCAGUAUUUUAGUACUUAGUUUAUUUCAGUAGUCAGAGUUAGUUGGGGACUUGUCCGAUCAACUCCUUGUUCAGACAGUAGAGGCUUUUCAGACUAGAGUAUUUAUAGAUAGAUGUUUAGUUUUGAUAUGGAUGUACCGUACUCAGUAUUUACUUAUAUUUUUAAAACUUAUGGCAUAUUUCUGCCUAUCACACAAAUAUAGUAUUACUAUUCAAUUAUUGUAGCAGGUACCAGUCAUGGGUUAGCUUGUAGUCCUUCGAUAUUAUGAGCACUGUGUAGCAUUUGGGGUACAAACUCGGGGCAUUACAAACUUGGUAUCAGAGCCUAAGAUUCAAUAGAGUCCUAGGAAGUCUUAAAGUCUUAUCUAGUAGAGUCUUGUGCAUGGGUGUGUAGUGCGCCACACUUAUGGACAGGAGGCUAUUAGAUGUUUUAGGAAAAGUUUCCCUUCUUUCAGUAAUCAUGCCAUGCGGGUGAGCAUAGGCUCAAGUUAAACUCUCUGUCUAAUAUAAGUUUAUCUUCUGCUUAUAUAAUAUACCUCUAAAGAGGACUAAAUAAAGAGGAACAGGAGACCAGCCAGCACCUCAGCCCAUACAUGCAGAUCCCCUGGUUGAAUAUGUCUCCCAUACUGAAUUUAGAGCAGCUUUCACCACCUUAGCUCAUUCUGUGGCAGCUCAAAAUGAAUACCCAACUGUCAUUCUGGACAACCUAGUGACCAAUAUUGUUGUAGCUUAGAUUCAGACUUCACCCGAAUGAACUCUCCAUCUUUUACCGGGUUAAGUCAGAUGAGGACUAGUAGGAAUUUCUUGAUCAGGUGCAGAAGGUUAAAAAUAUUAAGAGGUGAAAACUAGUGAGAGUGUCGAGUUAGCUGCAUAUCAGUUUUAGUAUAUGUCUCACUCAUGUUUCAAAUAUUAGAAAGAAAAAAGGGUCGUAGAUGCAGGGCCCACAGAAUGGGAGGAAUUUGCUAUUGCUUUUCUAGAUAGAUUCUUCCCAUUAGAGUUGAGGGAAGCGAAGGUUUUGGAAUUUAUAAAUUUGAAGUAGGGAAACAUGAUGGUACAAGACUAUUCUCUUAAGUUUACUCAAUUAGCUAGAUACGCUCCUCUUGUGGUAGCAGAUAGUAGAUCUAAGAUGAGUAAGUUUGUAUCUGAUGUGUCUAAUAAUGUGGUCAAGGAGUGUAGGACCGCAAUGUUGAUUAAGAAGAUAAACAUAUCCAUCCUCAUGGUCCAUGCUCAGCAGAUAAAGGAGGCUAAGAAUAAAGAGAAGGAAAGGGAGAAUAAGAGAGAUAGAAUAGGUAGCUUCAACUUCACCCAGCCUAAGUCAUAGGGUGGAAAUCAUUCUUAGUUCUACCCAAAAUCCUCAGUCCUAGCUCCAUCCUCUUCCAGUUAUCCUGUUCUAAAAUUCAAAGACGACAAUAGAGAUAGGGUGUUGGGCCUUAAACCCCAGGGUAUUGUUAGUAGUGCCCGAACAAAUCCUCUCUACCAGAAGUAUGGUAAAAACCAUCAAGGUAUCUAUAGAGCUAGCAGUGAUGUAUAUUUUGGAUGUGGUAAGCUAGGCCACAAAGUCAGACAAUGUCCUAAUGUGGGUUCGCAGAGUCAGUAUAAUCGUCUCUCAGCUCAGUUCGGCUGCCUGAAUCAGUUGGAUGCCGCUUCCAGCGCCACCAGUGGGCAACGCCCAAAUCAACUCUAUACACUUCAGUCCCAAUAGGAUCAGGAAAGUUCUCCUAAUAUGGUCAUGAGUACAUUACAAGUUUAUUAAUUGCAUGUUUAUGCGUUGCUAGAUCCAGAAGAUUCUUUGUCUUUUGUAACUCCUUAUAUAGUUGUUGACUUUAGAGUCAGUCCUAAAAUUCUAGCAGAGCCUUUCUCAGCCUCUACCCCAGUGGGUAAAUCUAUCAUAGCUCAAUGGUUAUACAAGAACUGUCCGAUUAUGGUAUCUCAGAAAGUCACUUUAGCAGACUUAGUCAAAUUAGAGAUGACUAAUUUUGAUGCCAUUCUCAGCAUGGAUUGGCUUUAUUCCUACUAUGCCUUAGUUGACUACAAAAAUAGAAUUAUCUAGUUUUAGUUCCUAAAUGAGCUCGUCUUAGAGUGGAGGGGUAGUACUUCAGCACUUAGGGGUUAGCUUGUUUCCUACCAUAGGAAAAGAAAAAUGAUAUCUCAUGGAUAAGUCUACCAUCUCGUUCAAGUAUAGGACUUUAGAUCAGAAACCCCUACUCUUGAGUCACUAUCAGUAGCAUGUGAAUUCACAGAUGUGUUUCCCAAAGAUCUUCUUGGAGUUUCUCUCGAAAGGGAAAUCAACUUCGGAAUAGACCUUCUUCCAGAUACUCAGCCCAGAUCUAUUCCGCCAUAUAGAAUGGCUCUAGAAAAACUCAAAGAAUUAAAAAAACUAUUGAAAUAUCUCCUAGAUAAGGGAUUCAUCAAACCCAGUGUGUCCCCGUAGGGUGCACCAGUUCUAUUUGUGCAUAAGAAAGACAAUUCUCUCAGAAUGUGUAUAAACUAUCAUCAGUUAAAUAAAGUCACGGUCAAGAACAAGUAUCCACUUCCCAGAAUCGAUGACUUGUUUGACCAACUUUAGGGUGCCAGUUACUUUUCUAAGAUAAACCUCAGAUCAGGUUAUCAUCAGCUCGGAGUCAGAGAAUGUGACAUUUCAAAAACAGCUUUCAGAACUUGGUAUGGUCACUUUAAAUUCUUAGUCAUGUCAUUUGGUCUUACUAAUACCCUAGCAGCUUUCAUAGACUUGAUGAAUCGUGUGUUCAAGUUGUACUUGAACAUGUUCAUUAUAGUCUUCAUAGAUGACAUCCUUUUCUACUUUUGCAGUGAGCAUAAUCAUGCAAACCAUCUCAGAAUAGUGAUACAGACUCUCAGAAACCAUCAGCUAUUCGCCAAAUUCAGUAAGUGCAAAUUUUGGCUAAGGUUAGUAGCCUUUCUCGGUCAUAUUAUUUUUUGUGAUGGCAUUAGAGUUGAUCCGUAAAAGAUCGAAGCAGUGAAAAACUGGCCCAGACCUAUUUCUCCAUCAGAUAUCCAAAGUUUCUUGGGUUUGGCUGGAUAUUAAUGAUGGUUUUUUAAGGGAUUUUUAUCUAUUGCAUCCCCUAUAUCCAGAUUGACUAAGAAGUAGGUCAAAUUUCAGUGGUCAGAUUCUUAUAAGAAGAGUUUUUAAGAGUUGAAGAUUCGACUCACUACAACCCCAAUUUUGACUCUACUAGAUGGUCCAGAUAGAUUUGUGGUAUAUUAUGAUGCUUCCAGGGUUGGUUGGGGGUGUUUUUUUAUGAAGAGAGGUAAGGUCAUAGCCUACGCCUCUAGACAUCUUAAGCCCCAUGAAAAGAACUAUCCAACUUAUGAUCUUGUGUUAGCACCAGUAGUAUUUUUCUUAAAGAUUUUGAGGAACUACUUGUAUGGUGUGCACGUCGAUGUGUUCAUUGACCAUAAGAGCCUACAGUAUGUGUUCUAUUAGAAAGACCUAAACCUCUAUCAGAGAAGGUAGUUGCAGUUAUUGAAGGACUACGAUAUGAGCAUUAUGUAUCAUCUGAGUAAAGUCAAUAUAGUGGUUGAUGCUUUAAGUAGGAUGUCUAUGGGUAGUUUUGCUCAUGUAGAGGAUGGUAAGAAGAAGUUAGCUUAGGAAUUUCAUCAGCUUGCCCGACCUGGUGUCCUCUUAGUCGAUUUAUCAAAAGGUAAUGUAUGGGUGCAGAGUAGUUUAGAAUCAUCUCUGGUUUCUGAGGUGAAGAAAAAGCAGGAUAGGGAUCCCCACCUAGUUAAGUUGAAAGAAUCAGUCAAAGAUCAAAAGAUAGAGGUUUUCUCCCAAGGGGGAGAUAGUGUAUUGCAUUAUCAGGGUCAGCUAUAUAUGCCAGGUGUAGAUGACCUGAGAUAGCAGAUUCUUGCAGAAGCACAUGGUACAUGUUACUUUAUUCAUCCAGAGGCCACUAAGAUGUAUCAUGAUUUGCGGGAGAUCUACUUGUGGAGUGGGAUAAACAGAGAUAUUACAAAGUUUGUAGCAAAGUGCUCAUUAUGUCAGUAGGUUAAGAUCGAGCAUUAGAAGCCUAAUGGGACUAUGAAGAGUUCAAUAUUCCCACUUGGAAAUGGGAACAUUUGAACAUGGAUUUUGUGAUGGGUUUGCCUCGUACUAGUCGUCAGCACGAUUCAGUUUGGGUCAUUAUAGACAGGAUGACCAAAUCAUCUUAUUUUCUUCCAGUCCAUACCUCUUAUUCAGCGGAGGACUAUGCCAAGAUCUAUGUCAAAAAGUUGGUCAGAUUACAUGGAGUUCCAUUGUCCAUUAUCUCUAAUAGAGAUACGUAGUUCACCUUCCAUUUCUGGAAAACCUUCUAAAAGGGUCUUGGUACCCAAGUCCACCUUAGUACAGCUUUCCACCCUUAGACAAAUGGUCAAGCAGAAAGGACCAUUCAGAAUUUAGAGGAUAUACUGCGAGCAUGCGCGAUAGACGCGAUAGACUUUAAAGGUAGUUGGGAUGACCACUUACCUUUAAUUGAGUUCGUAUAUAAGAACAGCUAUCAUUCCAGCAUUCAAAUGGCUCCAUUUGAGGCGCUCUAUAGGAGGAGAUAUAGAUCUCUUAUUGGUUGGUUUGAAGUGGAAGAGGUCGCAGUGGUAGGGCCUAACUUGGUGUUUGACACCUUAGAGAAGAUUCAGCUGAUCAGGAAAAGGCUUAAGACAACUCAGGGUCGACAAAAAUCACACGCAGAUGUGUGAAGAAAGGAUCUCGAUUUUGAGAUUGGUGAUUAUGUGUAUUUAAAGAUCUAUCCUAUGAAAGGAGUGAAGAGUUUUGGCAAAAAGGGGAAACUCAUUCCCCGAUAUAUCAUUCCUUACUGAAUUCUCAAUGAUUUCAGAAAGGUAGCUUACUAGCUUGAGUUGCCUUCAGAUUUAGCUUCAGUCUAUCCGGUGUUCCAUGUCUCCUUGCUAAAGAAAUGCAUAGGUGACCCAACAGUUGUAGUCCCUGUAGGGAGUAUAGAUGUUCAUAACAGCCUCUCUUAUGAAGAGAUUCUAGUCAAAAUCCUUGAUUAUCAGAUUCGCAGACUGAGGAACAAAGAGGUCCCUCUAGUCAAAGUUCUUUGGCGGAAUCAGUCCAUUAAGGGAGCUACUUGGGAAGCAGAAGUAGAUAUGUAGACCAAGUAUCCUCACCUCUUCUUCGCAAACUCAGACUCAGCCCAAGGUAACAGUUUUCCCUUAAACUUACUAAAUUCAUGCUCAGAUUGCCCUUAUAGACAUGGUAUCAGUUACCAUUGCAUUUUUCAGUUAUGUAUUCAUGCAUCAGAUAUGCAUGUUCAGCAUGAGUAACUCAACUUAUCAGCAAUUCUAGUCAUGCAUUCAUGAAUUUUAUUCAACCAUGUACUCAUGCAUCAGAUAUGCAUGUUCAAUAUAAAUUUUCAUCAUAUUAAUAGUGUCAGUCAUGAAAUUAUGUUACAGUUAUGCACGUCCUGUAUCUAAAUCUAGUCUAUUAGUAUUCUCAACACAGUCAACAUUAUUUGAAAGUGAAUGUUCUCAAGGGAGAGAUAUUGUAAGACCCUGCAAAAUCCUAAGCUUAACUCAGUCCUUUAAAGCUUGUUAAGGGGUCCCAGAGUUAGACAAUUUUAGAUAAGUAUUCAGACAUAGUGUUAUUUUAGUCCGUGUAGGUUAGCGAAUCUAUUUCAUGACCCUCAUGACCUUAAAGUAAUGAUUUUUAGGUUGAAUCAUAAUCAGGAAUGUUAGUGGGUAUUCCCGAACAAGUUUUGAAUUUUUUGGACUUUGUUUGGAUCACAUUUGAAAGCUCAAACCAAUGGAUCGAUGCGAUCUCGACGCAUUGCGUCGCCCAUCGCAUCGAUGAAUAUUUUUCUCCAGCUCCCAAUGCAAAUUCCAGUGAACCAAUGCGGACACGACGUGGUCCAUUGGAAAUCGUGUCGAUGCCAAUGACUGUGUGUCGCGAGGUCUAUUUUUAGUCAUUAAAAAGUCAUGUCCUCAAGGGUAAUUGGGUCUUUUUCCCAUGUCUAUUAGCCCCAAAACACGAAAUUAAAACCUUUUAAGAGCAAAAACUAUUCAUUCUUCACAAGUUUCUCUCAAGAACAAACCCUAGGAGAUUUCAAAUUCAAUUCAAGGCUGAAAAACUUACCAUCAAUCUUUUAGAAUUUAAUUGUUAAGGUAUGUCAAGUGUUCAUUCCAGGGUCCCUUCCACCCUUGGAGUUCAAGCAUCUAUUUUUCAAAAACCUCAAGUGUAUUGAUUACAUAAAUUUCAUGUUGGUUUUGAUUAUAUUCAUAAUUAUAAUGAUUAAUUUGGUUUCUAAUCCAGGAUUUGUUACAAGUUUCAUGUGGAGUUAUUUGAUAUAUGUAUAGAAUCAUGUAAAUCCAUGCUAAACUCUUGAAAGUGUAAAUGGGGAUUUGAAUUAUGGUGUGAAUAUAUGGUUAGUGUCAUGUUCAUGGAUUAUGUCCUCCAAGUGUUUGAUAAAUUGCUCAUGUAAACAAAGAAAAAGGAAAAACAAACAUGUUAUGUUAGCUUAUGUGCAAGUUAUAUCAUGCAAGUAUUUGAUAGAAUGUUUCUAUGAAUAAAUUAUGAUCAAGUGCACAUGGUUAUACCUUUCAAGUUUAUGCUAUGAUUUAUUUUUCAUGCUAUCAAGUGCUGGGGGAAUCCAACACCCAAAAACUUAGUUGUUUACCUAGAGCUGUGGUAGUUACAGAAUAGUCUCAUAGUGUCACAAAUAGUAGCCUUAAUAAUCAGUCACAAUUACAGAUCAGUAUUCAGUCUAGACCUCAGUAAAUCCAGCUAGUCAAUAGAACUCUGUAGUAUUCUAUCAGCUAACAAAAUUUAGUCGUACUCCAUCAGUUAACUGAACUCAGUUCAGUUUAGUUAGACAAUACAAUCAAUAACAAUUCAGUCCAGCCUAGUAUAGUAUAGAAAUCAGUCUAGUGUCUAUUUAGUUAGAGGAGUAGGAUUCAGCACAGAGGCAGUCCUGCCAACAAAGGGUUUGAACCUUAGUAGCAGUCCCUGUAUUACAAAACUACAUAGCUAGCAUAGGUUGAGAUAUCUUUCUUCCAGAAUAGGGUUGAUAUAUCUCAUAUGAGUUUUCCUACCAAUGAAGGUUAACGAAAGAGCUUCCUGUCAGGGAGGGUUAACUCACAGCUUGUCUUUACCCGUGGCAUGAUACUGGUACCCUUCCAACUGAGGUUACAGGUUGGACCCCAAUCUAUCCAGAAAGGGGUAUGUCAGUUAGAUGAUUACCUCCGACAGUCUCAAUUUCAGUCUCAGUGUAGAACUUAGUUCAGUUCUAUAGAAUCAUGACUGUCAGAUAUAGCCACUCAGUUAAGUAUGGAACUUAGCACAGUUCCAUAGAACCAAGACUGACAGCGUCAUUCAGCUAUUAGUUAUACAGUAUCAGUAAACUCAGAUAUCAGUAAAUUAGUAACUAUUCAGAACUCAGUAUCCAGUGUCAUCAUGACCUCAGUUAUAGUUUACAUAUUUAUGCAUGUACUCCCAUUCAGUUAUGCUUAUGUAAUUCAGUCAGUAUUUUUCAUGCAUAUGAACCCAUAUAUCUCAGCCUACCUCACUUAGCAUACCAGUAUUUUCAAAGUACUGACGCAUACCUUUCUUUGUGCUCUGAUGUCUUAUAUCAUAGGUUUAGAUGCACGGGCUCCCAAUCAUACUUAGCAGCCCAAUCCAUCAGCAAAAGACUAGUGGUGAGUCCUUAUUGUUCGAGGACAGAUUUAUUAUUCUAGUAUCUCAGUACUAAAUUUAUUUCAGUGGUCGGAGUUAGUUGGGGACUUGUCCCAUCAACUCCUUAUUAAGAUAGUAGAGGCUUUUCAGACUAGACUAUUUAUAGACAGAUGUUUAGUUUUGGUAUGGAUGUACAGUACUCAGUAUUUACUUACAGUUUUUAACCUUAUGGAAGAUUUCAGCCUAAUUUUUGAACAAUUAUAGUAUUACUAUUCAGUUAUUAUAGCAGGUACAAGUCAUAAGUUAGCAUGUGGUCCUUCAGGAUUAUGAGCAUCGUGUAGCAUUCGAGGUACAGAAUCGGGGCAAUAUACUUUCCAAAAUGGUUCAAGAUUCUAUAAGGGCCAACAUAUCAGGGACUGAGCAUUCCUUUCUUACCGAAUCUCUUCACUCCCUUCAUGGGUGAGAUUUUCAAAGAAACUAAAUCACCUAGCUCAAACUCAAGAUCUCUUCUCCUCACAUGUGUAUAGGAUUUAUAAUGACUUUGGGUUGUCUUCAACCUCUCCCUAAUCAACUGAACUUUCUCCAUCACAUCAAACACUAAAUCUGGUCCUAUCAAAGCAGCCUUACCGAUCUCAAACCAACCAAUAAGAGAUCUAUAUCUCCUCCCAUAUAGAGCCUCAAACAAAGUCAUCUGAAUACUGGAUUGAUAGUUAUUAUUUUAAGCAAACUCAAUCAAAGGUAAGUGGUUAUCCCAACUACCUUUAAAAUCAAUAACACAUGCUCUCAACAUAACUUCUAAAGUCUAAAAGGUCCUCUCUGCCUGACCAUCUAUCUGAGGAUGAAAUAUUAUACUGAGAUGAAAUUAGGUACCAACACCCUUCAGAAAAACCUUCAAAAAGUGAGAAGUAAACUAAGUACCUCUAUCCGAUAUGAUAGAUAAUGGAAUCCCAUCCAACUUAACCAACUCCCUAAUAUAACGCCUAGCAUAAUCCUUAGCUGAGUAGGAAGUAUAACUGGCAAGAAAUGAGAUUAUUUGGUCAUUCUAUCAACAAUGACCCAUAUCGAAUUAUGUUGACGUCGUGUACGAUGCAAAACCGUUACAAAAUCCAUGUUCACCACUUCCCACUUCUAAGUGGGGAUGCUGAACUCCUGUAGUAUACCACUAGGCCUCUAGUGCUCAACUUUAACCUACUGAUAAUUUGAACACUUAGCCAUAAAAUCUGCAAUAUCCUUCUUCAUACCAUUGGACCAAUAGAUUUCCCGCAAGUCAUGAUACAUUUUGGUGGCCCCUGGAUGAAUAAAAUAUCGAGCACCAUGCGCUUUAGAUAAAAUUUGUUUUCUCAAACCAUCAACACAUGGAACACAUAACCUACCCUUGCAAUGCAAUACACCAUCUCCCCCUCGGGAGAAAACCUCUACUUUCUGAUCUCUAACUAAUUCCUUCAACUUAACCAAAUUGGGAUCCCUCUCUUGCUGUUUCUCUACUUCGACAACCAAUGAAGAUUUUGAACCAUUAUGAACCCAUACACUGCCUUUAGCUGAGUCAACCAGCCAAACACCUAAUCUAGCAAGCUGAUGAACCUCUCGGACUAACUUUUUCUUAUCCUCCUCAACAUGAGCAACACUACCCAUAAAUAAUCUACUAAGGGCAUCUGCCACUACAUUGUCCUUGCCCGAAUGAUACAACAUAUUCAUAUCAUAAUCUUUUGACAAAUCUAGCCACAUUCUAUGUCUAAGAUUCAAAUCUUUUUGUGAGAACACAUACUGUAAACUUUUGUGAUUCGUGAAUACAUCAACAUGAGCCCCAUAAAAAUAAUGCCUCUGAAUUUUCAAUGCAAAAACAAUAGAUGCCAACUCAAGAUCAUAGGUAGGAUAGUUCUUUUUAUGGGGUUUAAGCUAUCUAGAGGCAUAGACUAUAACCUUAUCUCUCUGCAUCAAUAAACAACCAAGACAACUAUGGAAGCAUCACAUAAACUAAAAACUCAUCUGAACCAUCUGGCAAAGUUAAUACUAGGGUUGAGGUGAGUCGAGUCUUCAACUCCUGCAAACUCCUCACAUAAGAAUCUGACCACUAAAAUUUGACCAUUUUCUGAGUCAAUCGAGACAUGGGAGAUGCAAUAGAAGAAAACCCUUUAACAAAUCAUCUGCAAUGGCCAUCCAAACCCAAUAAAAUUUUGAUAUCUGAAUGAGAAAUGGGUCUGGACUAGUUUCUCACUGCUUCAGUCAUUUAAGGGUCAACUCGAAUACUGUCACCGAAAAUAAUAUGGCCAAGGAAGGCUACUGAUCUUAGCCAAAAUUUGUACUUACUGAAUUUGGAAAACAACUGAUAAGCUCUAAUGGUCUGUGACAUAAUUUUCAUGUGGUCUGCAUGAUCACUUUCACUAAAGGAAUAGACAAGAAUAUCAUUAAUAAAGACUAUGACAAACAUGACUAAGUAAUGCUUAAACACUCUAUUCAUUAAGUCCGUGAAAGCUGCAGGGAUAUUUGUUAGUCCAAAAGACAUAACUAGAAAUACAAAGUGAUCAUAUCGAGUUUUGAAAGUUGUCUUUGGAAUGUCACAUUCUCUGACUCUAAGUUGAUGAUAGCCAGAUUUGAAGCCUAUCUUAGAGAAAUAAUUGGCACCCUAAAGUUGGUUGAACAAGUCAUCAAUCUUGGGGAAUGGAUACUUAUUCUUGAUUGUGACUUUGUUCAACUAACGGUAAUCGAUGCACAUUUUGAGAUAACUGUCUUUCUUAUGCACGAACAAAAUUGGAGCUCCCCAUGGGGAAAUACUACGCCUGUUGAAUCCCUUAUCUAAGAGAUCCUUCAAAUGUUCUUUCAAUUCCUUAAGCUCAGUUGGAGCCAUCAUGUAGUAUGGAAUAGAGAUAAGUUGGGUAUCGGGAAGGAGUUCUAUUCCAAAGUUAAUUUCUCUUUCGAGAGGAACUCCAGAAAGAUCUUCAAGGAAAACAUUUUGAAAUUCCCCUACUACUAAAACGAACUCGAGAGUUGGAGUCUUAGAACUAGAGUCUUUGACUCUCAUAAAAUAGUACAUGUACCCCUUUGAUAUCAUUUUCUUACCUUAAGAUGAGAAAUAAUCUGACCCCUAAGCAUAGAGGUGCUACCCCUCCAUUCAAUGACUGGUUCAUUGAGAAACUAAAAUUAAACGACUCUACUUUUGCAAUCAACUGAGGCAUAGCAUGAGUGGAACCAAUCCAUGCUGAAAAUGAUAUCAAAAUCAGUCAUUUCUAACUCUGCAAUAUCAAUUGAGGUAACUUUCUGAGAUACUAUAACUGGGCGAUUUCUAUAUACCCAUCUAGCUAUAGUAGAUUUAACCACUGGGUAGACACUAAGAAAGGUUCUACUAAAGGUAGGGGGCUGACACCGAAGUUGACUGCUAUGUAGUGUCUUACAAAAGAGAGUGAAGCUCCGGGGUCUAAUAAAGCAUAAACAUGGAGGUGAAAGACCUGCAACGUACCUGUAACUAUAUUAGGAGAACUUUCCUGAUCCUGCUGGGUUAUGAGGGCAUACAACCUAUUCUGAUGCUGCCCGCAACUGGAAGUGGCACCCUGAUGAAUCAAGCGACCGCCUAGAACUGGAGGACUGUUGGACUGACUCUGCAAACUAGCCUUUGGGUAAUCUCUAACUCUUUGGCCCAGCUUGCCACAUCCAAAACACACAUCACUAUCAGUUCUACACACACCCUAAUGAUGCCUGCCAUAUUUAUCACAAAGUAGAUUAGUACGACCAUUGUUUAUACUACCCUGGGACAUAGAGCCUGGUGCCAUAUCCCAACUAUCUUGCAUGAACUUAGGCACUGGCGCACUAGCUGAAAAUGAAGAUGGGACUGAAAACUUCUGACAAAAAUAAAAAUGGCUACCACCUUCUGACCUUGGUUUAGAAAAGUUAAAACUACUUGUUUGGACCCUCUUAUUCUCCCUAUUUUUCUCCUUAAGAUUCUCUUCCUCAAUAUGCUGAGCAUGAAUCAUAAGUCUAGAUAAGUCCAUCUCCUUAAUCAACAUGGUAGUCCUACACUUCUUAACUAUACUAUCAGGUGUACCAAACACGAACUUACUCAUUCUAGACCUGUUGUUAGCCACCAUAUUAGGAGCAUACCUCGCCAACUUAGUAAACUUAAGUGAGUACUUCUUCACACUCAAAACACCCUACUUCAAGUUAAUGAAUUCCUGAAUCUUAGCCUUCCUCAACUCUAAUGGGAAGAACCUAUCAAGGAAAGUCGUGGUAAACUCUUCCCACUCAACAGGUCCUGCAUUAACAAUACGGUCCUCUUUCCCCUUCUUAAACCAGGAGUGAGCUACAUCCUAUAAUUGAUAUACAGCCAACUCUACACUCUUACUCUAAGUGACGCUCACGAUAUUGGUCACCUUAUGCACCAUAUCCAAAACUCCUAUAGAUCUUCCUCAUACUUGGUUCCCAAAAAUAGAGGGGGAUUUAUUCGGGUGAAGUCCCAAAUCCUAGCUACAGUUAUAUUUGCCACUGGAUUGGCUAGAGCAAUAGCCUGCUAAUUAUUCUGAGUAUCUAUUGAAUAGGCUAAGGUAGUAAAAGUAGAUCUGAACUCGGCGUGAGAGAUAUGUUCAUUCAGGGGAUCUUUCUAAAUAGGCGGAGGUGCGGGCUGGUCUCAAAUUCUUCUUUUGUUAUUUUUUCUAAGAGGCAUGGUCCAUAAAAGAAAUAAAGUAUGAGUUAGAAAGAGGGUUUAAAUAGAACUCAUACUCUUUCGCAUGAUAUGAAUACUGAAAUAAGGGAAACUUUUCCUAAAACAUCUCAUAGCCUCUCGUCCACAAGUGUGGGGCGCUUUACACCCAUGCACAAGACUCUACUCAAUGUGGCUUUUAUACACACUAGGACACUGUAAAACCUUAGACUCUAAUACCAAGUUUUUUCGAGACCCGAGGCCUACCCCCAAUCGCAACAACGGUGCUUAUGGUAACAAAUGAUCACAAGCUGACCCAUGAGCUGGUACCUAUUGUGAGCACUAAAUAAAAUAAUUAUCAUACACGUGUGCAGAAGAUAAACUACUAAAGUAAUGCAAAUUUGAAUACUGAAAAUCCAAUUCAAUCAUAAAUCCAAAGCAUCUGGUGAAAUACUAAAAGCUAAUCGUCAAUUUAAAAUAACUGAUAAUACUGAAAGGACUAAUAAACUGGAUAACCAUCUAACUGACUAUAUGAUUGUCUGAAAUCCUCUAAUUGACUGAGGAGUUGAUGGGACAGGCCCCUAACUAACUCUGACUAACCAAACAUAAUGAAAUACUAAAGUAAUGAAUGAGACAUAAUAUGUCCCAGAUGGAUGAAGUCUCACCACUAUGGUUUUUGUGUAAUCCUGGUUGUGUAACCGUGGUCGGGAAACUGAGCCUCUGAACCUAUGAUAUAAGAUAUCAUAGCACAAAGAAGAGUAUGCGGUCAGUACUUUGAAUGUACUCGUAGAAGAGAUAAGGACUGGCUAAAAUAUAUGGGUAACUAUGCAUCAAUGCAUAAACAAGUAAUAUUUAUGAUUACAAGGCCAAGUAUAAACAUGUUUCUGAAAUAAUCUAGAAACUGAAGAACUGUAAUCUGAAUAACUAAAUAAUUGAGAAUCUAUACACUUGGUCAACGCAAACAUGACCUAAAAAUAUAUUAAAUAUUGCACUGAGACUGUGGGAGGUAUCAUCAAACCGACAUGCCCUAAUUUGAGCUAAUCAGGGUCCAUACUAUAAUCCCAGUUGAAAGGCUAUUAGUACCGUGCCAUGAGUGCUAACACCGGCUGUGUGGAUCCACUAAACUGGUGUCCCAAAGGACUAAUAAGUCACCCUAAACUGGCCUAUUCUCUAAUGAGAUUGGGUUAUGCUCAAUAGGCAGUUAAACACCUUGUCAACCCUCAACUGGCAAGUAGACAUCUCUAACCUACGUUGGCUACAUAGUUCUACAACUUAGGGAUUGUUAAUAAGGGUCACAACCCAUACUGUCAAGUGAACCUUCAUCCCUGAGUUUUAUCGAUGCUAAAUCCUACUACCAACUGAACUGACAGUGGGACAGAACUGAACUAAGCUUAACUGAAUAUGAUUUCAUAACUUCUAGUGGUCAUCAUGAUUACAUCAACUGCAUAAGUAAUAGAAUUCAUGGUUUAACUAAAUCAUUACUGAAAUAAUCUAAAUUCAUGUAAAAACUCUUAAGUAUCGGGUAUUCAUAAUCCACCAUCAUUGAAUGAUCACUAAAUGCAAUAACAAACUUAAAAAUUAUAGUAAAGAAUCAUAGUACAAAACCCAUAAGAAUUGACAUUCCAUAAAACAUGUGGGGAUCAUGAAUUUAAACAUAGGAAUGCUUUAAAUAGGGGAAGUAACAUUACUAUAUGACUAAAAAUCAUAAUUUAGGGGUCUAACAUAGAAUUCACUUGAAAUAGGAUAUGGGAAACUAAAAUUCAAAGCAUGAGAAAAUCAAAUCUUGCAUGGGAUCAUACAUAGGCUGAAUUGAAUUUAAAAUCACCAUGAAACAGUGAAUUAAACCCAUCUUAAGAAAUAUAAAAUACCAUAAUAAUAGAAAAAAUCCAUUCUUUAAUUGAAAAGAGGGCUUUUGGGAUCCAUGGGUGAAAGAGACCCUUGAAUGAACACCCUAUAUACCUUAACAUUCUUAACUUAAAAGGAAAAUACUAAUCUUGAUACUUUAUUAAACUUGGGGAACUUGAAUUCUUGAUUUCUUGGGGAGAAAGAAAUUGAAUUCUUGUUCUUGGGGAAGAAGAGGUUUUUUUAUAGAGAAAAUUUGGAGAAGAAGGGAAAAUAAUGCUCUAAUUGGUGCCCCAAGGCAUGAUAUGAAUGAUUGGGUAGAAGGGGAAAAGACCCAAUUGCCCCUCAAAUAUUUAAAUUUGAAAUUAGAUGCAACAGGCUUACUGCGAUGUGGUCCUAUCGUGGUCAUUCAUUUCCCUCACAGCGAUACGGUCUGCAUGAGAAUGUGAUGCGCGCUUAUCAUAAUGACCCACUAGUUUCACGAUCCAAACAUGUCCCAAACCUCAUUCUAAAAUUCCUUGAGACAUACUUCUUACAUCCCUAAACAUAAAUCAACUCAAAAACCAACAUCUUGGGGUUGGGAAGACCAAAAUAAAAAUCCUCAAAGUUAGAGGUCUUAAAAAUCACUAAUUCUCCAACACUUAGUGAAAAUUUCAAGCCUUAAGCCCCUUAUCCAUGCAACUGAAAGCUAAACCGAGCUAAGAUUAGUACGGGGUAUAACAAUAAACCUCGAGAAACUUAUUAGCCACAUGAACAAAUUUUAGAGAAGGACUUUUCGAGUUAGAAUCUUUUACCCAGACCAAAUUAUACAAACAAUCUUUGCAAAUCAACUUUCGGGCUCUAAGAUAUGAGAUGAACCUUUCCUUAGGCACAAAAGAACCCCUUUCCCAUACAAUUACCGGCUCAUUAGGGAAUUAAACAUGACCUUACAAGUUCGACAAUCUAAAGAAGCAUACCAAGAGUGCAACCAAUUCAACCCUAAUAUAACAACAAAAUCCACCAUAUCUAAUUCAAACAGAUCCACAUAAGUUUCUUUACUACCAAAAGAUACCACACACACCCUAUAGACUCUUCUAGCAAUAACAGAGUCAUUGUAAUACCCCAAACUUUUUUUUGAAGUCUAAUUUAGUCUCCAAAAGAUUAAGGGAUGACUUCCUAAGCAAAUAAUGUUUAAAUAAGAUAGAAUUUCCCUAAUUUCAACUUUUAAUCAUACGGGAAAUUUAAUUAGCUUUCCAACGAUACUAAUUUCAUCAAAAUCUAGUAUUAGAGUGAGAAGCUAUGGACAUUUUAUAGAGAACUGUCAGAACCGCCCAGAAGCGACGCUCAGGCUGAUGGACCGUCAAGCUAGCGAUGGACCAUCGCCCAAGACGAUGUAACAAAGGCAAUGAACUCAUCUUCUGGCUAAGUGUGAUGGUCGGGAUCAAUAAACCAUCAAGCUAGUGAUGGACCGUCACCCAAACUGUCAUAGAAGAGGAAGAACGUUCAGGUUCUAGCCAAGUAUAAUGGGAUGGAUCGACAGACCGUCGAGCUAGCAACGGACCAUCGCCCAAACCACCGGCACUUCUGAUCAGUGAUUUUAAGCCACUUUUUAAAAGGGUAUUUGGAUCUUUAUCCACCCAUUUUAACCCUUAAUUAUACCAGAACAGAGCUCUUAACUUCAUUAUUCAUCCACAACACUAAAUUAGGGUUUCUCUCAAAGAUCAAUCCCCAAGAACAAGAAACCCUAGGUGUUUAAUUUCAAGUCAAGAAUUCAAGCUUUUUUCCACCAAUCUUUAAUAAAUCAUCCAACCAGGUAUGUUUAGUGUUGAUUUAUGGGUUCCUUUAACCCAUGAACAUCAAGAAUUCUAUUUUAAAAUCAUGAAUUAUAAAACCCAUGUUGUGGAUUGAUUAUAAUCAUGUUUAUGUUGUUGUGCGACUUCCAAGUUGGAAGUUUUAGUAUGUUUUUUUUGAAAUUUGUUAAUGUAUGGAUUGAAAUCGAUGAAAUUGAGUUGAAUGAAGAAACUUGAUGUAAUAAGUUGAUGUUUAUGCUUAAGACCUAAGUUAUGCAUACUAGAUGUUUGAUAAAAUGCCUAAAAGAGUAAGAUUUAUGCUUAUUGACUCAAUAAGGCCUAAAUGAUAAAUCCAUGCUUUAUCUUUAUAUUUUAAAAUGACUCCCAUGCUAUUGUGAUGCAUUGAAAUUGUUUGAUCGAACGCCCAUGAGGCUAGAAUUGUGUAACCAUGAUAUAUUUGAAUGCCUUCCUAUUCAUGUACAAGAGUAUGAGAACCAAGUGCUUCAUUAAACUCUUAAGUGAUUGUAUUAUCAAUUAUUGAUUAUAGUCAUGUGUUCAAGAAGUGUCAUGUCUUGUCAGUUUCAAGCUACCGAGUCCUAGGGGUACUUGUACCUGACAAUUUAGCUAUGUGCCUAGAGUCAGUGUCAGUUUUAUGAUAAUAUCAGUCAAGCAGUAGAAUUCAGUCAAUUACAUAACGCAGGAAAACUCUACAAAUUCAAUAUCAGUUCAAUAAACUCAGUCAGUUAACAGAUCUCAGUAAUAUUCCAUCAGUCAACGCAAUUUAGUGAACUCAAUCCAAUUUAGUCUAGUAUAUUCAGUUUAGUGUCUAUUCAGAUGGGAGUAGGAUUCAGUACUGAGUGAUCCCAAGGAUGGAAACUCACCUACAAGUAGAGGGUGUGAUUCUUAGAAGCAAUCUUUGCGCUCCAGAACUACGUAGCCAGUAUAGAUUGAGAUAUCAAACCUGCUAGAUGAGGGUAGAUGAGGUGGCUUAACCUAUUAGAUGAGGUUCCCGCCGUUCUUAUUAGAGUACCUGUUAGAUAAGGGUCACUCAUAGCUUGUCCUUACCAGUGGUACGGUAUUGACACUCUACCAAUUGGGGUUAUAGAUUGAACCCUAACUCAGCUAUAAUAGCUUAUUAGGGGCAUGUCAAUUAAAGGACUACUUCCCAUAGUUGCAGUCUCAGUCUCAAUCUGAGUCUCAGUAAUAGAACUCAGAUAGUUCUAUAGAAUCUAGACUAGUAGAUACAAUCACCCAGUAAAGUAUGGAACUUAGCUAGUUCCAUCAGAAUCUAGACUGUCAGAUAUAGUCACUCAGUAUCAGUUACAUCAGUUAUCAGUAACUUAUGAUAUCAGUAUUCAUACUCAGUAGUCAGUAUUAUCACAAAUUCAGUUACAGUUACUUAUUCAUGCAUGUAUUCUCAUAUUCAUGUUAUACAAUCAGUUAGUAUUGUUUAUACAUAUCAACCCUUUGCAUUCAGCCUACCUCACUAGCAUACCAGUACAUUCAAUCGUACUGACACAUUUUCUCUAUGAUUUUUUAUGCCAUAGGUUCAUAAGUACGAGCUCCAAAGCAUCUGUAGCAAUCCAGUUUCAGUAGUCAGAGUGAGCAAUGAGUCCUUAUCAUUCGAGGAUGUUAUGAUUUGAUUACUUUGCUUCUAGAGUACUUAGUUUAUUUUAGUAGUUAGAGUAAGUUGGGGACAUUCCCCAUCAACUCCUUAUUCAGAUAGUACAGUUUUAGAGGCUUUCAUACUAUAGUAUGUUUAGACAGUUAUUUUAGUUGUUUUGAUAUUGAUAUACCAUAUUUUUAGAUGUUAUGUUUUAUAAUAUAUUUGAAACUUAUGGCCUUUCAGCAUUUUAUUCCAUAUUUAUACAGUAAAUUAUGCAGUGUUCAGAUACAGAUAUCAUUCAUGGAUUAGCUUGUGGUCCUUCGGGGUCACGAGCAUCGUGUAGCUUUUCGAGUACCAGAUUUGGGGCAUUACAAACUUGAUAUCAGAGCCUAAGGUUCAACAGUGUCCUAGGAAGUUUGAAAAGACGCAUCUAGUAGAGUCUUGUGAAUGGGUGUAUUAUGCACCAUACUUAUGGACAGGAGGCUAUGAGAUAUUCUAGGAAUAGUUUCCUUUCUUUCAAUAUUCAUGUCGUGUCAGUGAGCAUAAGCUCAAAUGUAGACUCCCAGUCGAAUCCAUUUUUCCAUUUCAUUUACUAAUUAUGUCUCCCAAAUGGGCUAACAAAAGGAGAACCAAAAAACAGUCAGUACCUUCGCCCAUUCAGGUAGAUUCCCUGGACGAGCAUGCCUUUCAUGUCGAAUUCAAAACUGACUCCCUCACUUUAUCUUACUCAGUAGUAUCUUAGAGCAAUCAGCAGGCUGUUGUCCCAACCCCUUCUUCAGCCUGUGCUCUAGUGCCAAAAUUCAGAGAUGGCAACAAGAAUAGGAUGCCAAGCCCUAAACCUCAGGGAAAUAUUAGCAGUGCCCGAACUCAUCCCCUUUUCAGACUUAUGGUAAGAACAAUCAGGGUAUUUGUAAAGAUGGCAACGACGUCUAUUUUUUAUGUGGCAAGCCAAGCCAUAGAGUCAGAUAUUGCCCCAUCAGGUUUUUAGAGUUAGCGUAACCAUUCCUCAUUUAGUUUGAUCACCUAAAUCAGCAGGGUGCCACCUCCAGUGCUACCAGUGGGCAAUGCCCAAAUAGACUCUUUGCUCUUCAAUCCCGAAAGGAUCAGGAAAAUUCUAUUGAUGUGGUUAUUGGUACAUUACAGAUCUUUAACUUGCAUAUUUACGCUUUGCUAGAUCCAAGAGCUUUCUUGUCUUUUGUUGCUCCUUAUAUAGCAGUUGAUUUUAAAGUCAGUCCCAAAAUUCUAGCAGAUCCCUUUUUAGUUUCUCCCCCAGUGGGUAAAACCAUCGUAGCCCAAUGAGUAUUCAAGAAUUGUCUGGUUAUGGUAACUGAGAAAGUUACUUUAGCAGACUUAGUCGAAUUAGAGAUGAUGGAUUUUGAUGUCAUUCUCGGCAUAGAUUGGCUUCAUUCCUGCUAUGCCACAGUCGAUCACAACCUAGUUUUAGUUUCCAAAUGAACCCGUCCUAGAGUGGAGGGUAGUAUUUCAGCAUUCAGAGGUUAGUUUGUUUCCUACCUACAUGCUAGGAAAAUGAUAUGUAAGGGAUGUGUAUAUCAUCUUAUUCGAGUUAAGGAUUCUAGUUUCAGAACUCCCAGUCUUGAAUCAGUCUAAAUAGUGAAUGAAUAUUCAUAUGUGUUUCCGAAAGAUUUUCUUAAAUUUCCUCCCGAAAGGAAAAUAGACUUCGACAUUGAUCUUCUUUCAGAUACUCAGCCUUUAUCUAUUCCUCCAUACAGAAUGGCACUAACAGAACUUAGAGAACUAAAAGAACAAUUGAAGGAUUUCUUAGAUAAGGGAUUCAUAAGUCCCAGUAUUACCCCGUGGGGUGCACCAGUUCUAUUCGUUCGAAAUAUAGACGACUCUCUUAGAAUGUGUAUAAACUACCGUUAGCUCAAUAAAGUCAUGGUUACAUACAAGUAUCCUCUUCCCAGAAUCAAUGACCUAUUUGGAAAACUUCAGGGUGCCAGUUAUUUCUCUAAGAUAACCUCAGAUCAAGCUAUCAUCAACCCAGAGUUAGAGAAUGUGACAUUCCGAUGACAGCUUUUCAAACUCGGUACGGUCACUUCAAAUUCUUAGUCAUGUCCUUUGGUCUUACCAAUACCCCAGCAGUCUUCAUGGACUUGAUGAACCAUGUGUUCAAGUAAUACUUGGACAUGUUUGUCAUAGUCAUCAUAGAUGACAUCUUUGUCUAUUCCCACAGUAAACAUAAUCAUGCAGAAUGUCUCAGAAUAGUAUUACAGAUCCUCAAAACCUAUCAAGUAUCAUGAUAUUUAUUCAUGUCCUACCUGUUAGCUCCAUGAUCAUCGCAUAUAUUUGUGCAUAUUAGUGAAAAUCAUGUACGAUUUUAGUUUUCAGUAUAAGGGGUCCCAGUUUACUCUGCGGUACAAAUCAUGUUCCAUGAACACAGCUUACAUUUACGCACCUUCUAUAGAAUCAUGUGCGUUUUCAGUUCCUAGUAUAAAGAGUUCCAUUUUACUCAAUAGUACGGAUCAUGUCCCAUGAAUACAGAACCUUCAAACUCAGGUCAUGCAGCUUAUGACUCAUGUACUCCUGUUGUGCUUUAUAGUAUGCUCAGCCCACAUGAAUCAUGUUCCACUCCUAGUGAUCAGCCAAACUCAGGUUAUGUCGUGUAUACCCUCAGUUUAGAUCCCUCGAUGAAUCCGUAGUGUUGAUGCUCCAUACUUUAGGCCUCAGUUACAGUGUCAGUUCAGUAAUCGGUAUUCAGUAAAGGACUCAGAUAUUCCUACAGGACCAUGGAUUUUAGUUAUAAAUUACUUAGCCAUCAGAAUUCAGUACAUCAGUACCAAUCUAAACCUCAAUUAUCAAAAACCAGCAUUCAGUCCUAGUAUGAGUCUCAAUUAUAAAUUUAGUUGUAAUCUCUGUUAUAGUCUUAGAUAUAGUGCCAGCCUUAACCUCCGUUCAGAAAUCAAAUCAGUACCACAGUCUAAUUUUAGGUUUGCUUGACCAUAGUAUGUAAUAAUCAGUUAUACAUGUUAUCAGUGUUUCAGUACCUCAGCUUACAGAAUGUUUCCAAAUCAUGUUAUACGCCUAGUCUUUUAUUCUCAGACAAUACAAGUAUUUCAUGAAUUCAUUCUCAGCUAUCUCGUGUUACUCAGUUAGUCCCUUUCUUAUGUUCAUAAAAACUCCAUAUUCUCAGUCCAGUUAUUCAGACUAAGUAAAGUUCAGUCUUACAUGCCUAGUACUUAGCAGUCAGUCUGUCAAUAGAUCAAAUGAGUCGAUCAGUAUGAAUUAGUUUGAAUAACCAGUACUUUAGUCCGACAGUCAGACGGACAAGUUUAUAUAUUUUCCCACUCUAUCCACCUAGUUGCACUAUUUGAAGUCUCAUGGAUGUAACCAUUCUAAGAUGGACCAAUCAAGUAGUUGUGUGUUUAGUUCAGUUCAUGUUUCAUGACUCAGUCUCAGAUCCUGGAUAUUCAGUCAUAAUUCCAUACGUGGGAGCCCUGUGCAUCAUUCCAGUCUCUUCUCAGUAUCUCGGACAAGUUAGUAUUCUUCAAGGGAUGUAGUGUCCCAAGGGGGAGAUACACUAUAAUCCCCUGAACUUUCAUUACCUAAACAUGUCAUUCCCUCUUCAUGUAAGGAACCUAGCUAGGAUUAGUGGGUACUCAUAGGUAGACCCUCAAGCUCCAAUCUCAGUCAUAAGUUAUGUACGCAAUGGGUCAGUUCAGUUCAUGAUACUCAGUCUAUGUUACACAUUACAAACUCAGUCAUGUUCUUAUGUUCCCAUUCAUGUGUGUUCAAUAAAGGAUCUCGAGUUUGUGAUUAAUGACUUUAUCUAUCUAAGGAUAUCUCCCAUGAAAAGAGUAAAGAGAUUUGAAAAAAAGGGAAAGCUUAGUCCCCAAUAUGUUGAUCCCUUCAAAAUUCUCAGUCAUUUUGGCAAGGUAGCUUAUGAGCUCGAGUUACCUUCAGAUCUAGAUUCAGUGCAUCCAGUCUUUCCAAUCUCCUUACUUAAGAAGUGCAUAGGUGACCCAGCAGUCGUAGUCCCUGUUAAGGGCGUAGAUAUUCAGAAUAGUCUCUCUUACAAGGAAAUUCCAGUCGAAAUCCUUGACUACCAGAUUCGCAGACAAAGGAACAAAAAAGUCCCUUGAGGGAGAUACUUGGGAAGCAGAAGCAGAUAUGCAGACUAAGUAUCUUCACCUUUUCUCAGCUAAUUCAGACUCAGCCCAAGGUAAUAGCUUUCCUUAAGCCUAUUCAGCUUCAUGUUCAGAUUUCAGUUACAAUCUCAGUAUUUUAAAGUACCACUAAAUAUUCAGUCAUGCAUUCAUGUAUCAGCUCAGUCAUGUACUCAUGCAUCAAAUAUACAUGUUUAUCUUGAUAAAUUCAGCUUAUCAGUGAUUCCAUUCAUGUAUUCAUGAGUCAGUAUUCAAGCAUUAGAUAUGUAUGUUCAGUAUACAAUUUUAGUAUAUCAGAAGCUCUAGUUAUAUAAUCAUGUUUCAGAUAUUCACAUCCCUUAAGUAAGUUCAGUCUAUCAGAAAUCCCAGCUUCGUCAGUCCCAUUGAAAGAUGAAUGUUCCCAAGAGGGAGAUAUUGUAAUACCCUAAACUUUUUUUUUGAAGUCUAAUUUAGUCUCCAGAAGAUUUAGGGAUGACUUCCUAAGCGAAUGAUGUUUAAAUUAGGAAGAAUUUCCCCAAUUUUGACUUUUUAUCAUGUGGAAAGUUGAAUUGUCUUUCCAAAGAUACCAAUUUUGUCCAAAUCCAGUAUCGGAGUAAAAGGUUAUAGAUGUUUUAUAGAGAACGGUCGGAAUCGCCCAGAAGCGACGCUCAGGCCGAUGGACCGUCGCCCACACCGUAGCGACUAAGGCAGUGAACCCGUCUUCUAUCCAAGUGCGACGGUCAAGACAAACAGACCAUCAAGCUAGCGAUGAACCAUCGUACAAACUAUCACAGAUGAGGUAGAAAGUUCAGGUUCUGGCCAAGUAUGACGGGUAAACCGGCGGACCGUCACCCAAACCAUCACCACUUCCAAUUAGCGAUUUUAAGACAUUUUUUAAAAGGGUAUUUGGGUGUUUUUCCAGCCGUUUUAGCCCCUAAUUAUACCAGACCAGAGCUCAUAACUUCAUUAUUCAUCCACAACACCAAAUUAGGGUUUCUCUCAAAGAUUAAUCCCUAAUAACAAGAAACCCUAGGUGUUUAAUUCCAAAUCAAGAAUUCAAGCUUUCCUCUACCAAUCUUAGAGAAAUCAACCACCCAGGUAUGUUUAGUGUUGAUUCAUGGGUUCCUUUCACCCAUGAACAUCAAGAAUCCUAUUUUAAAAUCAUGAAUUGUGAAACCCAUGUUGUGGAUUGAUUAUAAUCAUGUUUAUGUUGUUGUGCGACUUCCAAGUUGGAAGCUUUAAUAUUUUUUCAUGAAAUUUGUUAAUGUAUGGAUUGAAAUAGAUGAAAUUGAGUUGAAUGAAGGAACUUGAUGUAUUAAGUUGAUGUUCAUGCUUAAGCCCUAAGUUAUGCAUACUAGAAGUUUGAUAAAAUGCCUAAGAGAGUAAGAUUUAUGCUUAUAGACUCAAUGGGGACUAAAUGAUGAAUCCAUGCUUUAUCCUUAUAUUUCAAAAUGACUCUCAUGCUAUUGUGAUGCGUUGAACCAUAAGACUAUAAUUGUGUAACCAUGAUAUAUUUGAAUGCAUUCCUAUUCAUGUACAAGAGUAUGAGAACCAAGUGCUUCAUGAAACUCCCAAAGUGAUUGUAUUAUGAAUUAUUGAUUGUCUUCAUGGGUUCAAGAAGUGUCAUGUCUUAUCAGUUUCAUCCCACCGAGUCCUGGGGGUACUUGUACCGGACAAUUUAGUUGUGUGCCUAGAGCCAGUGUCAGUUUCACGAUAAUCUCAGUCAAGCCAUGAUCAGUAGAAUUUAGUCAAUUACAUGACUCAGGAAAACAUAGCAAAUUUAGUAUCAUUUAAGUAAUUUCAGUAAUCUCAGUAGUCUCAGUAAUUUCAGUCAGUUAUCAGAUCUCAGUAAUAUUUUGUCAGUCAACGAAAUUCAGUGAACUCAAUCCAGUUUAGUCCAUAUAUUCAGUUCAGUUUCUAUUCAUAUGGGAGUAGGAUUCAGCACCGAGUGAGCCCAAGGAUGGGAACUCACCUGCGAGUAGAGGGUGUGAUUCUUAGAAGCAAUCCUUGCACUCCAGAACUAGGUAGCCAGCAUAGGUUGAGACAUCAAACCUGCUAGAUGAGGGUAGAUAAGGUGGCUUAACCUGUUAGAUGAGGGUCCCACCAUUCUCAUUAGAGUACCUGUUAGAUGAGGGUCACUCACAGCUUGUCCUUACUAGUGGCGCGGUAUUGACACCCUACUAAUUGGGGUUACAGAUUGGACCCCAACUCAGCUAUAAUAGCUUAUUAGGGGCAUAUCGGUUAAAGGACUAUUUCCUAUAGUUACAAUCUCAGUCUCAGUCUCAGUAAUAGAACUCAGAUAGUUCUACAAAAUCUAGACAGUCAGCCAGUAUAGUACGAAACUCAGUUAAUUCCAUCAGAAUUUAGACUGUCAGAUAUAGUCACUCAGUAUCAGUUACAUCAGUUAUCAGUAACUCAUGAUAUCAGUAUUCAGACUCAGUAGUCAGUAUUAACACAAAUUUAGUUACAGUUACUUAUUCAUCCAUAUAUUCUUACAUUCAUUUUAUAUAGUUAGUUAGUCUUGUUCAUGCAUAUGAACCCUUUCCAUUCAACCUACCUCACUAGUAUACCAGUUCAUUCAAUCAUACUGACGCAUUUGUGCUAUGGUGUUUUAUACCAUAGGUUUAGAAGUACGAUCUCCAGAGCAUCAGUAGCAUUCCAGUUUAAGCAAUCAGAGUCAGCAGUGAGUCCUCAUCAUUCCAGGAUUUUAUGAUUUGAUUACUUUACUUCUACAGUACUUAGUUUAUUUCAGUAGUUGGAGUUAGUAGGGGACAUGUCCUAUCAAAUUCUUAGUCAGACAGUACAGUGUUAGAGGCUUUUAGACUAUAGUAUGUUCAGACAGUUAUUUUAGUUGUUUUGGUAUUGAUAUACCGUAUUUUUAGAUGUUGUGUUUUAUCAGAUAUUUGAACCAUAUGGCCUUUCAGCCUUUUAUUCUGCAUUUAUAUAGUAUAUUAUGCAGUGUUCAGGUACAAAUAUUAGUCAUGGGUUAGCUUGUGGUCCUUAGGGGUUAUGAGCAUUGUAUAGCAUUCUGGGUACCAAAUUCAAGGCGUUACAGCCACCAAUCGGGGUUAAAAUAGAAAAAGGAUCAGAAACACCCUCGGGGUCAAAACCAAAAUGCACAGCCACAAAUGGGGCCACAUAAGAAAGAGUGGCCCCCAAUCACGUAAACAAUAGAUAUCACAGGAGAAAAUUUUUAACAUACAAGUAACAACAUCGGGGGAUGCCUCAGAAUCCUAGCGAGACGCAAGAGCAUAUAACUAAUUUCGGCCAAUGCUGGUGCCAGAAGCAGAAACUGAUACAGAAGCAGCACCCUUUAGUGUAGGAGCAGAUGAAAAAGCAAAAUGAGCCUUGUUAGCCCCACAAGCUAUUCUAACAUGACAGUUACAUACAUAUGAAAUCUAACCAUAAUAAAAGCAUUUGUUCUUCCCUUCCUCAGAGAACCCAUGGUGCAACCACCCACAAAAUCUAUAAGGAGAGUGGGAUAUAGUAGAUUGAGCCCUACUAGCCUAAGAUUGGGCACCCUAUGCCCGGGACCCACCGUCAUGCUAAGAUCAAAGAUCACCCGAUGGCUUCAGGUAAGGAGCACUAGCUAUGGAGAAAGAACCAUAACUCCCCCACUUCAUUUUUGGCCACUUACCACCAUCUCUACCACUUUGCUCAGAAGACCUAAAAUUUUUCCCCUACCUCUCACUAAACUCAAACUACUUUUAUUUCUCCUUUUUCACUUGUUGUAUGUAUACAACCAACUUAGAGAUAUCCAUGUCCUUGAUUAACAAGGCAAUCUUACUCUCAAAAAUCAACUCAUAAGACAGUCCCAAAGCAAGCUUAUGCAUCCUAGCCCUUAUGCUAGAGACCAACUCAGGAGAAUACCUGGACAACUGAUGAAAUUUCAAGGCAUACUCUUUAAUAGACAUCCUACCUUACCUUAGAUUCACAAACUCUUCCGCUUUUGCUUCCCUCAACUCUUGAGGAAAUAAGUGGUCUAAGAAGGCACUAGAAAGGUCAUCCCAUAAUACAAAGUCAACACCAUAUCCCCUAUACUGUUCCCACUCCUCAUAUCAUUAGUAUGGCACAUCUUUCAGCUGGUAGGCGGCAAACUCUACACCCUCCAUAUCGGUAGAAUGCAUAAUAUGAAAAAUUUUCUCCAUCUCAUCAAUAAAAGUAUAAGGACCCUCCUCAACCUUGGUACUAGUAAACAUAGGAGUAUUCAACCUCAUAAACUGGCCAACCCUUGUGGCCUCGGAAGAUGGAGUAAUAGGAACACCACGCUUAGACUAAGAAGCUACCAACUGAGUCAACAAAUUAAUAGAGCGAUGAAACUCAGCAUUAGUAGCCUCCCCUUGAGGUGACUGAGUACGAGUGCUAUCCUUGAGAGUAUGAUUAGUGAGGACGGGUGGAAACCCACGAGGACAGUCAGAUGCAGCAACCCUUGCCCGAGUUUGGACUCCAAAAAUAAAGUGUGUCACAUUAAUAUUGUCCCCAAUUGGGAUAGAAGAGUUUGUAUGAACAUUAGAUCUUCUUAGAGGUAUAAUCCUAAAGACAAGCAAAUGAAAAUUAGAAGAAUCCAAAACCUUAAACUCUAUAGCUCAAAAUAAGACAACAAGAAAGUGGAAUAUUCCUAAAUGCCUUGUAGCCUCUCCCUAAUGAGUGUGGCAUGAUACAUACCCUUAAAAGAGACUCUACUCGACAUGAUUUUAUGGACUCCUAAUUGACCAUGAACCUAGGCGCUCUGAUACCAACUUGACACAACCCAAAUCAGAGCCUUGUCAUUAUGGGCAUCUCAAGCCCAACAAGGAUUGAAGAUCGCCCCACUACCCAAUCCAACAAACUAACAUAUACCCUAAGUCUUACGAACUCUGAGCAUAAAACAAGAUAGAGUGAUUACCAACACAAAGACUUUGGGAUAGGUACAAGACUAUGACCAACCCAAACAAAUCUAACCAUACAAUGCAAAACCAACAACUAUAUCCAAAACCAAAAUAAUAACCAAGUCCAUAUCCUUAGCAUAACGUAAUAGAACAAUCACAAUUAAAUACAAUUAAACGGUAUCAACCCCAAUACCAAUACCAAUAGCAAACUAAUGCCAAGGUUGAUUCCACUACCAACAUCGCUAAUACCAACCCACAGUAGUCUCACAAAGCCAUUAUCCAAAAUUAAAAUAAUAUUUGGUCGGGAAAUGCCCCUGACCAUAGCCAAAACCAAUAUCCAAUACUAAACCAAAGAAAAUAUAACAAACUAAAACUAGAAAUGGAUCCUUCCAAACUAUAGAAGCUCACCACUUUAAGUCAACACAAGCUGUUCCUGAGUCCAAUCACUGAGUAGGAGGUAUAGUAUGACCAACACCUGCAUCGCAUAGGGAUACAGCAUCGAAGACGGUUAGUGAUUGGAGCACUAGUAUAUAACUCAAGGAUAAAGAAAAAUAAUGCCAAUAGUUCAAAUCAAAUCAUCCAAUGCAUAUAACUAAUGUGAUAUAUACAUAUAUAUACAUAUAUCAUGUCUGGAUAGGAAACAAGAUUAGCAUGAACUUUGAAAACAUUAACCCAGGCUGUGUAGCAUGACCAUCAUAGAACAAGGCACCCAUGGGCUAUAUAGGACUAGCUCUCCUCUAGAUAGAAGGGCCCCAGUACGUGUAGUCGCACGAACCAAAGAAUAUCCAAAUCUGUAUAUGCUUAUAUAGGGGAGUCAAACCUCUCGGCAUAAUCAAGGUGGCUUAAGCACCAAUACAUGCAAUAAGGGGAUUUGAACCCCUUCACAUAUUUAUUCGGGGGACCUAAACCCCCCGAUCAUAAGACACCCACACCGGCUAGCAUGGUUUCCAGGGUUAGUCCUUUGAACUCCACUUUCAUUGCCUGGCUAUACAUCUCGCUUUAAAGCCCAAUUUAAAAUAACCACUUCACAUGUACAACCAUUAAGCCAAUUACUUACCAAAGGCACUUCGUUGGUAUCACCAUACCAAUACUAUUUGCAAGCGUAUAAUAUGCCAUUACCAUUAUCAAUCAACCAAUCAUUCAUUUGACUUUGGGACUCAAACUCAUUGUCUUACAAUGACACUUAUUCAAUUCAAAGUUUAGGGACUCAAACCUAUUGUCUAACAAAGAUAUACAUCAAGUUAAUGUUUAUGGACUCAAAUCUAUUUAUCCAAUUAAACCACCAAGGUUACCAUUUGAAUCAUUACAUGGCAAACAAGACCUUUACAAAACCAUUUAUGAACCAUUCAUAUUCAUUAGGCCAAUGCCUUAGUUUGAAAUAUCAAUAACAUAUGACUAGUUUAUUCUCUUAGGCAUUUUCACGACCACUUUGAGGGCAUAUCAUUUCCAUAACCAAAACCAAAGUAAAACCAUAAACUUUAGGGUUAACCAUGACCCAUUUUUUAAACCAAAAUUACCAAGCACCCACAUGUGCAAACCAUUACCAAAAACAUAUAUAAACGCAAGUUAAACCAAGAGUAAAUAAUACUCAACCAUAUGCAACAAAACCCUCAAUUUUAGUUUUCAAAAUAUCCAUUUAAGAAUCAUAAUCACACUUUAAAACACAUUAUAUUUAUGAACUAACAAUGGGGGAAGAGUCACAGGCCUUAUUCAAGAAGAUUCACGAAACAAGAUUGACUCUUGAGCCUUUAGAUGAACACCUUUGAAGAUCCCUAGCCCCAAUUUUCUUGAGAGAGUUUAGAGAGGAUUUUGAUGUGUUUUAUUAUUUCAAAGUAAGUUAUGAGAGGCCAAAAUAUGUUUUAAUACAUGGGGACUUAAGGGUUUUAAGGUGGGAAAUGACCAAAGUACCCUUAGCUUAAAAGCUGAAAGCAUGGUCGCAGAAGGGUACGACCACACCCCCAAAUUGUACCCUAUUAUACGAGUGGUAUCCACCACUCUUACCCUAUACAUUACCUUGGAUCUCAAUACUGACCAACAUACGGACACAAAGGAUAACUCAUAUCCUAUAAUACGACAAGUACCUUAGAAUCAUACCCUAGGCAGAAUAGAAUCACUUAGGCAAGGCAUAGUGCAUCAUAUGGUUUGGCGUCAUACUUUUAGUACCCUAAUAUAUGACUAGUAUGAUACAUUCGUACCUUGGACACAAACCAAUCAAACUACACAGAUCAUUAUACGAGCGGAAGGACCGUAAACUGUACCACAUUAUACGACUACUAUGCACAAGUUAUAUGAUGUCCAAAAGCUGAACUUAGGAAAUUUUCUAAGGGUCCAAAUCCAAGGUGUUUCAAUGCAGCGGAGUUCACAUUCUAAGUAAUUAUGGUCCUGAUCGAGCCCAUAGAAGAGGCGGUCAAGAUCAUUCCAAAGAAGAGGCACCCAUCCUUCUAAUCGAACAAAGGGGAAUUUUUAUCGGAGGCAUGAGUGUUGUUUAAAGAAAAAGAGUCUUUUGCAUCUUUUAGUUUAGGUAGAAGUGACUGGUUACAUAGAAAUUAUCAUUGUAUAAAUAGACUCAUAGAAGGUGGUGUUUCAUAUUCCGAACCAACGAGCAGUCAACACGUGUAGGAAUAGAAUACGAUUAGCUUGCGUAUACCAACUGUUUUUAUGUGAAUAGACAUGUUCACAGAUUUUAAUUAAUGAGUACAUGAAACAACGGUUUAAUGCAUCUAUUGGAGUGAUAUGGUGGUAAAAAUACCUAAUGUGUUUGAUGAGUAAUCAUAUAUCCUUUAACAAUUCUUCAAUCGACCAAGUAAAAGAUAUAGCAUAGAUUUAUGUGUUCUACCAUAGACAAAGCAUAUAGUCAAUUACAACUAAACAUUAAAUUCUAGGUAAAUUCGGAGGUCCCCCAAAACAGUGGCUGAGUUACAAAAGAAGAAAAAAUAUCUAUCUAAUAGUUGUUAGCCAUGCUACAUGUGGUUCUUUUGUGUUCGUCUUUCUUGCAUAUUGAACACUUAUUCCUCCUUUUGGACUUGAAAGUUUCACCGAUGCCCUUAACGCAUUUGACUCUAUUCCUUUUGAGUUUGGGAUCGCAGGAGGUGGAAAAAUCUUCAUGUCUUGCAAUUCUUAUGGCACAAUUUAUUCAGACUCUAGAAGGACAACGUUAAUAGCUUCAGAGUAUACAAGAAGGUAAGUUUCAAUUUUAUAAAUAGGUGAAGAGUACUCAUAGAUGGAAUUACCAUAACCUUUUUCAUCGCCAUACUUUGAUCGCAAAACGACCAUCGCAUGUUCGUACGAUAGUUUCACCAAGUCAUAUUUCCUACAAGAACAAGUCUUAUCUGAGAGAUUGACCUUGGCAGUAACAACUCUGUCAAACUCGCGAAUUGAUCGAUAUUCUCAUUCGAAUUAGUCAUAUAUAAGGAAUCGCUCGCGCUCUUAUUAUCCCUUAAGAUCUUUUCUGUACGAGGCACAAAUUUGUUAUUUGAAGCACAAAUUUGUUAUUUGAACUGCCGACAAAUGCAUGCCACACCCUAAACUUUUCAGCAAAUUUUUUAGCAAUCAAAUUGAAUAUGUAUGACACGGGGUACUCUCGUUCAUCCGUCAACACUAAGUUGAGCGACUCGGUAAUGUUUGUGGUAAUCACAUCGUACCUAUUGCCUGGGAAGUAUACUCUACUCCACUUCUCAAAAUCAAGCACAUUUUUAAGUAUAUGUGCUGCCUCGAGGCAUUUAUCCUUGAAUUUCACAAAAUGCUCACUAAACUCAUUAAAAUAAUAUGCCUUUAUUAUGGUGUAGAAUAGAUAAAAUGCUCUCCACUGAGUUGCUUUACACAAAGAUUUUCAGCGAGGUGCCUCAUGCAAAGUCCAUGAUGCAUAGAGUUGUAAACACGGAAGAAGGCAUUGGCAAUGCUAAUGUGUCUAUCAGAGAUGACACAUACAUCUGGAUCAUCGUCUACUAUAGACUUCAACUUCUCGAAGAAGAAGGUCCAAGAAGCAUCGUUCUCUUUAUCCACAACAUAAAAGGAAAUUGGGUAAAUAUGAUUUUUGACAUCCUAUGCAACGACACUCAACAACAUACCCAUAUACUUUCUAUAUAAAUGUAUUUCAUCAACGACAGUUACCUUUCUUAUGUCGGCAUAUCCCCGUAUGCAAGCUUCAAAAUCUAAAAAGUAGUACAUAGACGAUCCAUAGUUCUUGUUAACCAUGAUAGAAUACAAAAAACUGGCAUUCAAUGACUCGAUCUUGUAGGAAAAAUCCAAAAAAAAAUAUCUAUAAUCCGGUGUCCCAUAAACAAUGUUCUUCACAAUUACACUUCCUUUCCAACACAUCCAAUAGCUUGACUUCCAAUGCAUCUACCUAAACAAAAUCUCUGAAUUUCUCUUAUGCUUGGACCCUUACCAUCAUGAAAAUGAUUUACACAUAGUGAAGAAAUAAUAUCGAAUGAGAUUUUCUCAUGCCUGCUCGUGGCGUGUUCAACACUGCAAGUGUGGACCCCAAAAUACUUGUAUAUGAGAAAUUUGUUCAAGAAUUUGUACUUUAUUGCCCAAAACAACCAGCUACAACCAUGAGAUACACAUUUCACCCUCAAGAAUUUGCUACAACUCUUCUCCUUAACAAAACCAAAAGACUGCCUUACCGAUGCUCCAUCUAGUAGCAUUUUCAGCUCUUACUUGUUUCUGAACGUUUGUUCAAGAUAGAAAUUAGUUCCAUCAGAAAAGAAAUGACUUGGUUGUGCUCCCAAUCCACAAUCUUCUUCAACACCUUUCGAGUCCAAUGAAUCAUAUGUAAUAUCCAUAGAAUCAUCUUUCAUAUUCAUUGGAUAAUCACUCUCGUUCUCGUAUUUAUUCAACUCGUCGUCGACUGUCAGGCAUCGAGAUGGGGGUGGUGAUGAAUUCAACGAUUCUUCACAGGGCCUCUCAACUAUAUUUAUUCUUAAAUAGGCCUAAAGCCAUCAGUACCAACAUCCAUCAUGUACAAAGACACAAGUCUGUUAUUAUUUAUGAUCAUAGGAUGCACCUUUUCCCUCAAGUUCAUUAGAUAACUAAUCACCACAUCGUUCAGUUCACAAUUUAAAUCCUCGCUCUCUAUUACGCUUGCAACCAAGUCAUCGUGUGAACUGUUGUGGAAAACCACCAUGGGCAAUAUCACCUUAGUAAAAGAUUUCCAAUUCCAACAUUGGGAGUAUCCUCCCAUUCUACCAUAAAAUCACUGGAAAUAAGAACAAACUUUGCAAUAGACAUCCGAGAAUUUCACUGGAGUCGAUCCUUGAUUAUGCUACACGUAUAUGUCUGUUAUAUGAAUGAUCGAUGGCUAGUCGAUGAAUUAAUUGAUGACUGGACAGAUAUCCAUACAAAAUAGUAAAAUUAUAAAUAUUACUUCUAAUCAACGAUCGUUGGGUUUAUGGAAUAGAGAAAUGAAGUUGGAGUCGCCUGAGCUGCAGUAAUGUACUCUCUAAAAAGCUUUUAAGUAAUGUGAGUGAUUUGGAAGCAUUUUAACAAUGGUGAAAAGUGUGUAUGAAAAGAUAACAAACAAAUGGGUUAACAAUGAAUGCAAGGAUAAGAUUAUGAUCUUUGUGGACUGAUUUUGAGCUGAUCGCUGAAAUUGUGUCUGAAUCAGAGAAUUUUAGAGGAAAACGAGAGCUUCUAGUUUAAGCUUUUGAAAGUUUUUUUUAAUUAUUUUUAGAAAGAUAUUUUCAAUAUAAUUUUGAAUGAAUAAGGAGGCUAAAUUGUAUUAUUAAAAACUUGUGUUCUAGAUUUGUUAACUUAGAAAAAAAAAGAUGAUAAUAUCAUAAUUAGUGGGUAUUUAGCAAAUUUUUCAAGACUUGCGUCUAAAUGGCAAGAAAAAUUUUCAAAACAGAUAUUUGGCAACUUAGCCCCAAGAAACACUGUAGAACAAGAUUUAAAAAGGGGGGAAAAGAAUCAAAUUUACCUCUCUACUUUUAAAAAUUGGUCAAUUUUACCCGUAGUCAUGCUUUUGGGUCAUAUUUAUCCCUACCAUUAAGAAAGUUUUCAUAUCUAUCCCUCAAUUUAUCGGAAUGUCCCAAAUUCAAUAAAAUAAUCCAUUCUUAAAAAUAAAAUUCAUAUCGACAUCAUAAUCAAAAGGACCCACGUUAGUUUUCAGAAAGUUGUUCGUUCUAAAUCUAGAAGAGGAGCUCUGCUAGUUAAUAGAGAUUUGAACAUAUUUUCCAUCUCUAUACUUCACUACCAUUAAUGGCAAUUUCUACACUAUGAAACCAUGAAUAUGUCAUCGGACCAUCGCCGGAGCAGCAACCUCAACAGCAAAAACGACCGACAAAACCACCACAAUAAUUGAAAACAAAACAAAAAUUGCUAAUGAUCAAUGAACAAAAUUAUCUGUGACAAAUCAAAUACUUUUCCAGUUCUUUUCCUUUAUUAAUCCUUCUCUUACUGUUCAUUCUUAAAUCCAUAGUGUUGUUGGUUCUAAAAAAUAAUGAAGAGAGGUUACUCGGAAUCUCUAUCUUCCAGUUUUUAUGGACAACCCAUAAGGCAUUUUACUAUCUCCAAUUUUGAUGGUCAGAAGAAGCGGACUUCGACUGUAAGAAAGAUUCUCCGAUUUGAAAGGCUUCCUGUGCUCACAAAGAAACACAUGUCGAUGAUUGUAUUAUUGAAAUAAUUACAUGGAAGAAGUGCUAAAAAAUUUUAUAUUUUUUAUAUUACCAUUUAUUAGAAAUUAAAUUAAGCAUGAGUGAAUUAAUUAAUUAAAUGCACAAAUUACAACCAUUGUCCCAAAUGAAACAUAAUAUAAAGGUUGUAACUGAACUUGGGGAGAAAUUAAAUUUAGAAUAAGUUGCAGAAAGAAGCAUUCAUAGGGUGGAUGAGAUAUGUUAGAACUAAAUCCACCAGCAUUAACACAUAAGCAAUCCCUUAAUCUAUUGAUAUUCAUCACUAGUAAGGGUAAGAGCAGGGACAAAGUCCUAAGCUUGAGCGAUGAAAAAAGUCAUAGCAAAGAUGGCCAACGGCAUUGAAACUACCACAGCCAUAACUAACCUCCCCUACCUUUUGUUCUUAAAAGAGAGGGGGGCGGAUGAAACUUGCAAACAUACAAGUGGAAACGUUGGUCACACAAGUGUUAUAUGAGUUUUCAUUUUUUGGAUCGGGUCAGGGGAUAUGAGUUUUAUUUUUAAAAAUGGAAUAUUUUAGUGAAUUUAGGGUAUUCUGUUAAAUUGAGGGAUACAUAUGAAAACAUUUUUAACAAUAGGGUCAAAUAUAACCCCAAAGUAUGAUUGAGGAUAAAGUUGGUCAAUUUUUAAAAGUAUAAGAGAAAUUUGACCUUCUUUCCUAAAAACAUUGCACCAACAAGAACCUAAAAUUUUUCAGUUUUCUCUUAGUUACAUUUUAAAAUAUUGAGUAUGUAAGUUUCCUACUUAAAUUAUCUCUAAUUAUUUAUUUAAAUAUAUUUUAAAUUAUUAAUCAUUGAGAAAAGACAUAAAGUCACUAUGAAAUUAUUUCGAAUUUAUAAAAAAAAAAACUUAAAUUUUAUCAAAAUCCUAUUACUCCACGAAAUAAUUUUGAACUUAUACAAAUAUAUCUUUUUUGAUCAAUCCUAAGUUUUAAAAAGAAAGCAUACAUCAUACCCCAAAUAUUGCGUUCCACAUGUUAGAUUUAUUUUAUUUUUUAAUCUUUAUUUUUAUUUAAUUUUUUUAUUUUAUUAACAUAAGAUCUCUUUUUUUCUUUUCUUCUUCUCCAAGCAUUCAUGUCAAUCUUUUUCUCCUCUUCACCGAUAAUUUUUUGAUGUGGCAACCAUUACUACAAUAUCUACCCUAUUGUGUCUAUCACUAAAUCACCGAUAAUUCAAAAUUAAAAUUAAAAAAUUAAUAUAUCAAAUUAAAAAUUACUAUCAAAAUUGUCUUCAUGUGAAUCCUACCUUUGAUUUUUGCUCUAAAUCAGGUGGAUUAUGAUUGAAUAUCUUUCUACUUUAUGUAAAAAAAAAUUAUUUUUUUAUUGACUCUAUAUUUAACUAGCCUACUAAAUUUCUCCUUAUUUGUAUCAAUUGAUUUCAACAUGUGUACAACUUGUUAGGUGAGGACAAAAUUUCAAAAAAAUCAAAUGAAGAUUUAUAUAGAGUUGGGAUGAAACUCUCAAAAAGGUAGAUGCUUUCAUCGUUUUGAAUUCUAAAAUUCAAUUUAAUGACUUUUGAAGAAUUGUCUAAAAUUUUAUUAGAUAAGAUUUUACAAUCAAAGAAACAAAUCAAAGUGAUAUCAAUAAAAAAAGAUCAAGAGAGUUGUAGAAAUUUUGGUGACAUUGAAAAUGACGGAGAAAAUGGUCAUGGCAGCUAAUUUGUGAUGUUACAAAUGAAACAAAAAUGAAAAAGGAAAAAAAUAAAUUCAACAAGAAAAAUUUAGUAAAAAUAAAUUUAUAAAAUUAUUUUAUGAGUUGCUCACACUCUUAAAGAGAGUCCACACACUCUCCAGGACAGGUGACAAGAAAUAAAUUUAAUAAAAUCACUUCUGAAUUGUUCAAAUAAAUUCGUUCAAAUACGAAUAAAUGAAAUUACAAAUACAAAUAAAUAUACUCAACUUCAAAAUACAAAUACAACAUCGUAUUUUAAAAAUACAAGUGUAUUAAUGAAAAUAAAAUAAAAAUAAAAAUACAAACAAAUUAAAAUCACAAAAAAAUUCAAUAUGCAGUCAACAAUAAAAUACAAAAUAAAAUAAUUUUUUAAAAUACAAGUGUGAAUUAUAUAAAAUAUAAAUGAUAGUGAAAACUAUAAUACAUAAAUACAAGUACAAACUAUAAAAUACAAAUACAAGUAUAAACUAUAAAAUAAAUACAAAAAUAAGUGUGAACUAUAAAAUAUGUAUACAACUGUAUCAAGGAAUAUAAAAUAUAAAUAAUAGAUCGAAUACAAAUACAAUAAAUGAUUAUGAUGUUUUCAUUAUUAUCCAUGAUUUAUGUUCAACAUAACCAUCUUUUUCAAAAGUUCAAAGAAAAUAUAAAGUAAGAUUCAAAAGAAAAUGACAAAGUAAAAAAAAUAAAAAAAAAAAAGAUAGAAAAUAAUAGAAGCUAGAGAUAGAAGAGUAAGAAAAAAAAAACUCAAUAGAAAAAGAAGUGAAAAAAGAAGAAAGAGAAGUAGAAGAGUAAAAAUAAAAGUGAAAGAAAGAAACCAAAAAAAAAACGAAAAAAAUAAAUAUAGGAAAAAAAUAAAAAUAUGAAAAAGAAAAAAAUAAAAAAUCAAUAAAGAAAAAAUGAGAAAGGAACAAAAAAAAAGAGAAAUAUGAGAGAAAAAAAAUGAAGAGAAAAAAAUGAAAAAGAAAAGAAAUCAAAAUAGGAGAAAAACGACAAAAAAAAAGAUGAAAAAAACUAACAAGAAAAAAAAUUAGAAAAACAAAAACAGGUAAGAGAGGGAGUGCUCUCGGCGCACAUUAGCAAGGCUGCUAACGUGCACCUUUUGUAAUUCCCCAUGGCCUCCACCGAAAAAAUGCGGGUUCGCUGGCGAAAUUGGUUACCCCUCAAGACGUAAUAAGUUGUUCAUUGCCUUCACUAAUAUUUGGGAAUUUUCUUCUCCUCAAGUAUCAUUCUAUUCCUGAGGAGAUUGAGGCACCCAGCUCAGACUCAGACUCACCGACUUUGCUUCACCUUCGGAAUUUUUGUUCCACUUGCUCAAACAGGAGGUUGUAAUUCUCGGAGCAAGCACCUCCACCUCAAUAGCCAGUGAAGAAGAAAUCUGAAAAUCGCAUGACUGGUACUAGUAAAUCCCCGUCCUAUGUUCCUACGACUUUUAGAGAAGGCAAAAUCUUUGUGACUAUUGUUGGGGAUGAUUUGAAAAAGCAACCGCACUAUAGGCAAAAUGCCAUAAUUGGUUUUGUGGUGGGUGACUCUCCUUACAAAAAUCCAGGGAGAAUUUUAUGUCAAAUGUGUUGAGCUUUGUGGAUAAACCACAAACCCUGGGUCAUGAUACUGGAUAUUAUAUCUUCUGAUUCAAUUCAGCUACAGAUAGGAAUAAAUUUCUUCUUAAUGUCCCUUACACGUUUCAUAUUAAACCCUUUGUAGUUAAACCAUGGGAAAUUGAUUUUGAAUUUGACCCUAACUGUACCACAAUUAUUUCGCUAUGGAUUAUAUUGCCGGUAUUGCCUGUUGGAUAUUAGUCUGGUGACCCGUUAACUAAGAUAGAGAGUGAAAUUGGUCGACCUCUUCACACAGAUCACUUUACUGCUAGUAUGGAGAAUAUAUUUUAUACUCGUGUACGUGUUGAAGUGGAUGCUUCUCAGCCACUAAUUGACUCUAUAGAGAUAGUGACUCCAACCGGUACAUUCCAUCAACCUAUUGAGUAUGACUGAAAACCUAGAUUCUGUGGUUAUUACCUUUGAUUUCAACACUUUACUGAUGAUUGUCGGGUGCAUAUCAUGGAUAAGAGCACGGAUCAGGAAAAUUCCUUCUAAGAGAAGCCAAAAAGGAGAAGAAGGAAUAGACGAAGGAAAAGACGUGUACAUCAAGAUUGGUAAACAAAGGAAGCGAGAAACACUACGAGUGAAGGUACUACCAAUCCCCAACCACUGGCUAGUCAAGAACAAUCCCAACCUUUGAAUAGUGAACCUAAGCCACAUGUACAGAGUAUGCCCACCCAGCAAGGACCUGUGGAUGGUAGGACUACCUUGGAAGGAGUUGCUAGUACCUCUAGGGGUGAAAAUAAGUUCUCAAAUUUAGAGAUUAUGGGUGACCAUGAGGGUGAUCCAAGUGCUCUUGGCAAGCAACAUUACAUGAUCUUUGCAACUUAGAACUUAAAGGGCUUGAACAAACCCCUCGGGCAAAAAGAUUUAAAGCUCUUUCUAAUUAAGCAUAAGAUAGAUGUAAUGGGAUGUUUAAAGACAAAGGUGAAGCAGCACAAAAGUCCCAACAUACUGGCAAAGGUUGCACAAGGAUGGUAUGCUAGUUGUAAUUGCUCAGAGGCUCCAAAUGGUCAAAUUUGGCUACUUUAGAGAUCACAUGUGAAGGUACAGGUAUUGAUAACUCAUGAGCAAUUUCUAUAUUGUUAUAUUAAGUGUCCAAUAGAUUCCUUUGCUGCUUAUGUUACUAUUGUAUAUGCAAAAAAUACUAUUGCUGAAAGAGUUGCAUUGUAGACUGCUUUGGUGGGAAUGAGUGCUACCAUUCAAGAACCUUGGAUCCUGAGUGGAGACUUCAAUGCUAUCUUGAGUCCUGAUGACUGGUUGGGCUCCCCUGUUACAACUACUAAACACAGGACUUUAGACACUUCAUGGGUGUUUUGUAACUCACGUCUUUAAGAUCUAGGGGUUGCUAUUAUUCCUUUUUCAGUAAAUAAGAGCAAAAUCACAGAAUCUAUUCAAGAAUUGACUGGGCUAUGGGUAAUUAUCACAAGUUACAAAGCUAUGGAGCAGUGGAGGCUGACUAUUUGGAAUUUUUAACCAUUCCUAUAUCCUGCUACAAUGUAAUCGUACAUUGAGUAAUAGGCCAAAGCCUUUUAAAUUAUUCUCCACAGUCAUGCAACAUCACCAGUUUCUUGAUAUUGUUGCAAGCACCUGGACACAUAGCUUUAUUGGAACCAGAAUAUACUAGCUAGCUCAGAAGAUGAAAGCUCUAAGAACUAAUCUAAAGAGCCUUAACUCUAACCUGGAUUUCUAUGAAAUUCAUCUGCAUACUACCUAGCAGCAGCUUGCAGUUGUUCGAGAUAAACUGGCCAUUAAUCUGUUGAAUAAGACUUUGAUAGAGGAGGAAAAACUACCUAUUCAGAAACUGCACCAAUGGAGUCUAUUGGAAGAGUAAACACUAAGACAAAAAUCUAGGGCCAGAUGGAUUACCUGUGGAGACUCUUAACUCUAAAUUAUUUCAUGCACAAUGCAGGAUUAGAGAAAGUAGGAAUGUUAUUACUUCUAUCUAUACUGAUCAAAGACUGAAGGUUAUAGAUCCAGCAUUAGUGGAACAAGGAUUUGUUUCCUUUUUAACCAACUUCUUAGGAACUGCAGCUGCUAAGGUUCCUCUGCCAAACUCGAAAGUCAUUAAAAGUGGUCCUUUUUAAUCUGCUCCACAAAAGAUGGCGCUCGUACAACAGGUUACAGAGGAAGAAAUAUGAUUUCUAUAAAGGUCAUGGCCAUUAAUAAAUCACCAAGAGUGGAUGGUAUCCCUAUUAAGUUCUACACCAAUCAAUGGAACAGAGUGAAGCCAGAUGUGUUGCUAGCUUUAAAAGAAUUCUUCCACUCAGGUAAAAUGCUUAAAACAUUUAGCUGCACUACAGUGACUCUUGUGAAAAAUGUACCUGCUCCCACAGUAGUCAAAGACUAUAGGCCUAUAGCAUGUUGUAAUACUUUUUAUAACAUCAUCAUAAAGGUGUAACAAACAGGAUGAAAGGAGUAAUGAACAUUAUUAUCAGUCCCCUCUUAGUUGGCUUUUAUAAAGGGCAGAUCUAUCAUUGAUAAUUUGUUAUUUAGUCAUUAAUUAUUGAAGUGGUAUACUAGGAAAAUUUGUGUAACACACCACAUUUUUGAGCUAGAGAUCGAAUUGUUGUUCCUACAUGUGUAAUCUCUAAUCCCAUAAUUUAUAUUUGAAUACAUGAGUCAUGAAAAUUAACCUAGUGUGAAGAGUGCUUAUGAGGUGUAAAAAUAUUCAUAGGAAUCACCUAGAUCAAAGUUGAGCUAAGAGCCUCUAAUUCGGCCAAAUUUUGGUAUUCGAUUCUACACGGGUGUACUUUGAACGUGUAUAACUUUUUACAUAUGUGGAAUUUUACAUCUCAAGACCUACCGAAUUAUAGAUAAUUUAAUUAGCUUUCUAACGAUAUCAAUUUUGCCUUAAUUUGAUAUCCAAAUGAAAAGUUAUGACCAUUCUCGUGAGAAACAGUAAUUGUAACACCCCAUGUUUUUAAUGCUCAAAUAAUGCAUUCAAAAUGACCUUUAGGACCCCCAUUUUGAUGGUAAACCAUGUUUAGAUGUUAUGGGUUGUGUUGGGGGUGUUUUUGGACGUUGGAAAUAGGUGUGCAUAGCCAAAUAGACCCUCCGCUAAGGCCAUGCGUUGCAUGAAAAUUGCCAAAAUCCACUGGAUGAGGUGUGCUUUUGGUGUGUGCCGCACACCCUCACGUGUGCUUUGGCUGUACGCCGCCCAACAAAAGCCAAGUGCCAAAAUUGCUUCGUUUUGACUUAGUUUAAGGGCUUUGAGGUAUUUUCACACCCCUAAACCAUUUCUAAACCUUCUUAAAUGAAUUAAGGGGUCUUGAAACACGUUAUUUUCCACUCUCUAAACCCCAAACAUCCAGUACACGAUUUAAAACCCUUCCCUCUUCCUAAGAACAAAAUUCAGGUUUCUUCCCACAAGAACUCAAGGAUUUAAGUUCCAAUUUCAAGUUUUCUUUAAGGAUUCAAGUAAUUGGGGUAUGUGGGUUAUUCAUCAAUGGGUUUCUUUCACAUAUUGAGCCCAAAAACCCUCUUUUUGGUUCAAGUGUGGAUUUUUCUCUAAUUCAUGAUCAUCUUCUAUGUAAAUUAUGAAAUUCAUCCAUGUUUCCUCUUUGUUUUGCAUUCAAGUUAUGCUAAUAGUUUUAUCCCAUGAGAAUAGGGCAAGGCAUAUUUUGGUUUAAACCAAAAAAAUUGAAAAAUCAAAUCAAAAUUUAAUUUUGAUUUGGUUUUUGAUUUUUUGGAUUGAUUUCGAUUUUAAAUUUUAGAAAUUUGGUUAAAUGGUUUGGUUUUUGGAUUUUUCAAAAAAAAAUUGGGUAAACCGAAAAAAUGAAAUUAUAUAAAUAAUAUAUUAUAAUUUAUAUAUAUACUAUUUGUUAUUAUACAUGUAAAUAUACUAAAAAUAUAAUAUAAUUUGAUAUAACAUAUAAAUAUAUAAAUUAUAAUCAUUUAGUAACCCUAAAUCCUAAUAUACUACUUUGCUUUAGGCCAUAAUUAGCAUUAACAUAAAGGCUGUUGCGGCGCUCAGUCAUCCUCAGUUCGUUAGUUCGCUUGAAAUUUCAACAUCGCUAACAACAGUCGGCAGUCGUUUGGUUAGUUCGUCACAGCCGUCGAGUGCAGCCACUGCAGUCACGCCAAUGCCGGCGACUCAACGAGUUUGAUAUUUAUGGUUAUUUCAUGUGUGCUGAAUUGAUUAUAUUUGGGAAUGAAAAAUAGGUUUGAAAAAAAAAAUUAUUUUUCAAGAAAAAUCAUCAAUUUAAAUGCUCACUACUUUAAUCUUUAAAAUCGAAAUAAAAAUCUGAAAUAACCAAACAAAAUUUAUAAAAAUCGAACCAAACCGAAAUAAUUUUGGUUUGGUUAUGGUUGUUAUUUUCGUGAACCCAAAAAUCUAAAAACCGAACUCAUAUUCAACAAUCAAACCGAACAAACUGAACGCCCACCCCUACAUGAGAAUCAUGUUCCUACAUCCUUGACGUUCCAAAACCCUAGGUUAUGUUUAGUCGGCAUCAUGUCAAAUUCUCAAGUUAUGCUUUAAACUGUACAAACAUGAUAUUUUUCCAAGGUUAACUCAUUCCCAUGUUUACAUUCAUGAAAUUUAUCAGACUAUUGAAAUAUCUCAUGUUUUGGGUCUUUGAAUUAUGAUUUUACGUCACUAUUUUAAGUGUUGUUAUUGACGUUUUGUAAUCAUUUAGUGUUGGCGGGUUAUGAACACCCUAUUCCUACAUGUUACGCACGUUUUAGACCUUUCAAGUAAUGAGUCGGUCAACUCAUGAUUUUUAUUGUUAAACACAGUUCUUUAUGAUCAUGUUGAGCACUAUCAGUUUACAUGUUCAUAAUUACUUCAGAAUCUGUAUGCACUAUUAUUUUCAAAACACCAUGACCUGAGCUUAUCAGUUAUCAGUGCAUGCACCAGUUAGUAUUUUAGUGCCUUUCAGCUAGGAGUAGGAUUUAGCAUCGAGUGGGAAGUAUGGGUUCAGCGCAUCCUCCUUUCCCAGAAACUACAUGCCAUCGUAGGUUUAGGGGCCUCGCCAGAGAGUGUUUUCUCUUGCCCAAUAUGGGCUCAGUUUAGUGAUCACUCCAGUUCAGGUUCUACUCCGAUGGCAAGGAUAGAAAAGCCCUCCUCAAUGUGAGUCAAACGUUGGACUCCAUGAUAGCUCACAUGGUUUAUGUCGGCUGUAUGAUAGCUCCCAUAGUUUUAUUCAGUAUUUAGUUUAUCUCAUUUCAGGUUUGCUUGACCAAGUAAUCAGAUUUCAGUAAUUAUUCAGUCAGUUUUACAAAUUAUUCAUGUUAUUCAGGUCAUGUCAGUACAUGAUGCUAUACUUGGUCUUACAUUCUCAGUUUUACAUGUUCAUGUUUUCAUGCUCAGUAUCCAUACAUGAUCCUCAGUUCAGUUUUAUGGCAUGUCCAACUUUACAUGAGAUUUACAUACAAUAUUCAUGUUUCUACCGCUUCCCAGCUUAUAGAAUUGUUUUCAGCAUAUGAACUUAUAAAUUUCACUAUGACUUACCGUUUUCAUAUACAACCAUAUUUUAAAUGCAUGUUUCAGUAAAUAGCUUAUAUCCUCAGUUGUAUAGCAUAUUUUAAAUAUUUUUAUGAUUUAGCGCAUGCCUCGAUAUACUCAGUACAUUCCAACGUACUGACCACAUAUAUAUAUUUUGUGGCUCUAUUCCUUCAUAAUGUAGGUACCAGAUAUAGUCCACACACCAAGGUCAAACAGUUCUCAACAUUCAGCCAGCAGGUGAUGAGUUCCCUAGUUUUGGGAACUCCAGUCCAUUGCAGUUCAUGUGUUGUAUUUUGAUUAUCCAUAUGUAUUGAUUAGUGGUAGUUGGAGGCAUAUCUCAUCUAUCUAUAAUCAGUAUAGUAGAGGCUUCAUAAAUAGUCAGUCAGAGUUAUGAUAUGCAAUUCAAGUUCUUUCUUUAAAUUUAUCAUGUUGUAAACUUUAUCAGUAUUACAUUCAUUCAGAUUUUCUCGUGAUUAUGCUUCCGCUCAGC
rnacentral:lncRNA from 1 species